rnacentral:lncRNA from 1 species
GCAUACUGCUACAACCUUGAAGCAGUUGGAGGUAAAAUUUUCGUCAAUUCUUUAGGCUCUUAUAUAUACCAAUUUGUGUAGUGAAGGUAACAUCACCAUAUUCAUUCUCAAUCUAAUUAACUAGACUACUAUAUAUUGAUCAAUCUGUGCAGACUGUUAGGUAUCUGCUCAAUGGAAAUAUGGUGGAAGUCAAUGCAGUGAAUGAAAGCGGUUUGACAGCUUUAGAUGUCAUUGAACAUAUGCCAAGAGACUUGAAAUCCACGGAAAUCCGAGAGUCACUUUCAAAAGCUGGAGCUUUAAGAGCCAGAAAUGUACCUGCCAAUGGAGAACGUGAGAUAGCUAUGGUGAUCGAGGAGUCUCGAUUAGAUUCCGUAGCACAACCUCUAGAUGUUUCUAAUAGAGUAAGAGAUGACAUGCUUUAAAAUAGGAAAGGCAGGGUGUCCCAAUCGGUGAUGCCAUUCUGAUGAGCUGGUUUUGACACUGGAAAAGGCAAGUAGAGGUGAUGAUACCGGCCACUCAUACACACCAUCCUUAGUUUUGCCCUUCAAAAGCGUUGCUCCUGUGCGAAGAUCCUUUACAAGAAAGGAAGAUGGUAAGAAUGUAAUUGAAACAUUGUUAGAGAUACAGAAUUUGGAAAUUGAAAUCAAAUUUUUUUUCAUGCUAGGAACACAGAGAACAUUGGUUAAGGAAAAUUGAGCAUUGGAAGUGUGGAGAGAGAGGGAACCAGUGUGUGUUAUGGGAAGUCCUGUGCCAUCACCAAUCAUAAUGUCGUCAGAGCCAUUGUAUGGUGCAUGAAUAGAAAGAUUGCUCAAGUCGGAGGUGACGUGAUGAGAAGCACCACUAUCCAAUAGCCAUGUUGGGGUGUUGGAGGUAUUAGCAGCAAAGUGAGCUUUUGGUUGCCAGGAGGAGUUUGGCAUUGCUGUACUGGUGUUGGUGGAUGUCUCAAUUGGUAUUAAUCUGAAAGAGGGACAACGCUUAGCUGUAUGUCCUUGAAUUCUGCAGAUUUGGCAGUAGCCAAGAUAAGGCUUUGGAGAGCUGCGAUCUGAACGCAAAUUGUUAGCGCCGGUGGGUGUAGGGAAUCGAUUACCAAAGGUGGGCGACGGGCGCCAGCCCGUAGUGCUGUUGCCAGGAUUGGAGGGUGGACGCCAGCCUGUGUUGUUUCCGAGGAAGAAUUAGAGUAUGGCAGGUGUCGGGACCCAGAGUAGGCACGAUUGGCAGGAUUAGCAGAGGCAGGGAAGUAGGAUUGUUCAGUCUUUGUAGUGUUUUGAAGAGAAGCUUCAAAGUUGAGAAGCUUUUCAUGGAGUUCAUCAAAGGAGAUUGGAGUAUCUCUAGCUUGAACUGCCCGCACCAAUUCUUUGUAGUCUUCACCAAGUCCCUCAAGAAUUUUUUCUAAGAGAUCUUCAUCAUCAACAGCUGCACCUAGGAUGGCAAGUUCAUCAACCCGAGCCUUGAUGGUCUGAAGGAAUUCAGAGACACCCAUGGAUCCCUUCGUGAUUUGUUUUAAUUGAUUUUUCACCUGCUUGAUUCUUCCACGUGAUGGUUUGGCAUAUGUAUUGGCCAAUAUUGUCCAGGCUUCCCUUGCUGUUUGUGCUCGAGCAAUAAAUGGAAUGAUGGAGGGGGACAGAGAACCAAGAAUGGCAUUGAGAAGGAGUUGAUCCUGCCUGAUCCAGAGUGUAUGUGCUGGAUUUGGUGUAGUGGUUCCUGGAAGAAUUGUUGUUGGACAAGGAUGUGAUCCGUCAAUGAAUCCUAGAAGAUCAUACCCAAUAAAGAGAGUCUGGAAUUGUAGUUUCCAAGAUACAUAGUUGGUGGAGGUAAGCUUUAAUGGAGUUUGAGCUGCAACAUUGAUGCUAAUCAAUGUGCUAUGAGGGUCGUUUGUGUUAUGAAUGGUGGUGGUGGCCCUGGUAGUCAUUAGAAGGGAAGGAAAAAAUUAAGCUAAUUGCUCUGAUACCAUAACAGAGUAAGAGAUUGGAAAUUCACAUAUUUUAUUGAAGGAAUUGAUGCAAUAUAUACAGCUAAAAUCAUAACAGAUUUGCCUAGUCUUAAGCCUAUAUACAUGGAAAUAUUAAGCUGGAAAAGAGAAUAUACAAAGAGAUAAAGUUUGGUAUAACAGAUAUAGAGAACAAGUCAAUGGAGGAUGUGGCUAUCUGAUAGUUUCUCCAAGAGUAGGAUUAUUCUCACGAGGCAUCAGUAAUAAGACAGAUUCGGAAAACAAAGAAAAUUGGUUGAAAGACAACCGUGAUGCUUUGAUGGUAACGGUAGGUGUGAUUGCAGCCAUGGCUUACCAAUCUGGGCUUAAUCCUCCUAGCGGUGUUUGGCAGGAAAACAACAUAAAAGACGAUGAGGGAAACAUUAUUUAUAAAUCAGCAGGGACUUCCAUAAUGGCCGUUAAUUAUCCAGAUGGGUAUCCUAAAUUCAUGGCGUACAACACUUUCUCCUUGGUUGCUUCUUUAAGCAUAGUAUUGCUGCUUAUAAGUGGAUUACCUAUGAAGAAAAGUAUUUUCAUGUGGCUUCUCAUGGUUGCCAUGUGGGUCACAAUCACAUUCAUGACACUCACCUACUUGAUUUCAGUGAGGGCCGUUUCUCCGGAUCAUGAGCACCCUUACAUCAAUAGAGUAGUUGGGAAUUCGUUGUCGGUAUGGUUGGGUGUGAUUGGCUUUGUUUUAUUGGUUCAUACUAUCCGCUUCCUCAUGUGGUGUGUAAGGGAAGUUCAGUUUAGAAAGAAGCCGAUAUCCAUCAAGUCUUGCUUGAGGGAUUGGGUGAGCAAUUUGUUGAGUUGUAAAUAAGAAGCCAACCAUCAUGACAGGCAGCUGUGCUUACUGUUCUAUUAUACGUACAAAAGGUCUCAUCUGUUGUUUAUUCCUUUCCUUCUUACUAGUAUGGUGUUGGGAGGUCCCAUCUCCACUAAUAUUGCAAUGUGUAAUUUCUUUGUAAUUAAGGAAUUUAGCCAAUGUGAGUAUUUUUGAAAAUAAUGCCAUAGAAUCUUUUUUGGGUUUAAUGAACAGUUUUGCCUCCUACUUUAUGCUUUUAUCCACAAUAUUCCUAUCAACUUUAGGAUUUAGAAUAUACAAUUUUUACAAUGCGUUUAGUAAUGAUUUUAUAAGACGUUUAUAAGAUUUUUAACACUUGAAUUAUAUAAUUUUUUUAAACAUUUAAAAAGUUAGAAACACUUUAUAAAAUCACUAUCAAACGAACUUUUAAUAUCAUUAUCAAUGUUAUAAUCACUUCAUAUCUUAUAGUCGUAUUCUUUGAGAUAAAUGCAUACCAAUACCUAUAUGCUGACUAUUUCAUUUAAUUUGGUGGUUAGGAGCUUAGGAUCUAGUCAUAAGAAUAUAUUACCUAAUUCUAAAAUUUGAUACUUAAAAUUGUUCGUUAAAAUUAAUUUAAUUUUUUAAAUAAUGAAAUUGAUAUCCUUAAACUUACAAAUUUUAAGUUUAUCAAAGAGAAACAAGAGAAGAAAGAAACAGACUUUUAACAUAGAAGAUAUUUAAACUUUAGAAAAAAAAUUAUUUAUUUUAAUUUUAAGUUACAAUAUUAAUUAUUUUAUAAAAUAUGUUUAAUCUAUUUAAUAACUUAAAUUAAAUUAUUAGAUUAUAUUAAACCAUUAAAUUAAUUUGUCAACACCAUCUAUGAUUUAGGAAUUUCUUGUAGGGAAUUAAACCGAAUUCCCAACCCGUGAGAAACAAAAAUUAGAGGAAAAACACACGCCAAAGAAAAACAAUCACACGCACAAGACAGUAUUUACGUGGUUCGGCAAUUUGCCUAUGUCCACGGAGUUGCAGGGAUAUCACUAUUAUCAGGGAAGAAUACAGAGUACAACCUGGAGGCUACAAUAUUCUCUAUAUAUAUAUAGCACGGCAACCCUACUAUACUAAAAAACCCUAAUUACAAAAGGUGGUUCCACAAUGGGUUAAACGGGCCCAACAGGCCUCAAUAAAUCUCCCAUUAAAAAGCCAUGCAAUAUUAUUCGGGUCGGGUCGUCAAAUCGGAUCAAACAAAACUAGGCUCCACAAAGCCCAACAAAUCUCCCACUUGGAGACUAGUCCAAUCACCAACAUCAAACCGCUAUCCUCCAAGAAACAAUCCCUCAUCCCUACAACUCAUCCUCCUGUCCUCAAGCUAGAAGACCAAUUGAAGCUGUACACAGCUUCAACUUCUCAAUAGUGACACCCUUAGUCAACAUGUCUGCAGGGUUAUUAGAUCCACAAAUCUUCUCAAGUAUUACCAGUUUAUCCUCAACAAGAUAACGGAUAAAGUGGUAUUUUGUUUGUAUAUGUUUCGACUUUGAAUGAAAAGCCGAAUUUUUGGCAAGAAAAAUUGCACUCUGACUGUCACUGUGUAGAAUGCCCAUCUCCUGCUUCUUACCCAAUUCAUCUAAGAAACCAUGUAGCCAAAUCAUCUCCUUUCCAGCUUCAGUUGCUGCAACAUACUCAGCUUCUGUAGUAGACAACGUAACAAUCUUCUGUAGAUUUGAAGUCCAUGAUAUAGCUGUACCACCUAGAGUAAAAACAAACCCAGUAGUACUCUUUCUACUAUCAAUAUCACCAGCAAAAUCAGCAUCUACAUAACCCUGCAGUUUCAAACUUGCACCUGUGAAGCAAAGACAUGUAUCUAAUGAACCAUUCAGAUAUCUUAAAAUCCACUUGACUGCCUCCCAAUGCUGCUUUCCAGGCCUACUCAUGAAUCUGCUCACAACUCCCACUGCAUGUGCAAUGUCUGGCCUUGUACACACCAUAGCAUACAUCAAGCUGCCAAUAGCUGAGGCAUAGGGCACCUUGCUCAUAUGGUCCCUUUCUUCUUCUGUCUUCGGUGAUUGUUCUUUGCUUAGUUUGAAAUAACUACCCAAGGGUGUGCUCACUGGUUUAGCUUCAUUCAUGUUGAACCUGCUGAGAACUUUCUUCACAUACUCUGACUGUGAAAGUUUCAAUGUACCAUUAGCCUUGUCUCUAAUGAUUCUCAUACCAAGGAUUUGCUUUGCAGCUCCCAAAUCCUUCAUUGCAAACUGUUUGGACAAUUGCUUCUUCAGAUUAUUAAUCUUCUCAAUGUCAGACCCUGCAAUAAGCAUAUCAUCCACAUACAACAGUAAUAUGAUGUAAGAAUUGUCAAAGGACUUAACAUAGCAACAAUGAUCAGCUUCACAUCUCUUGAACCCAAUUCUAUGCAUAAAAUUGUCAAACUUCUUGUACCACUGUCUAGGAGCUUGUUUAAGGCCAUACAAGCUCUUUCUCAGUUUGCAGACUAGAUUCUCUUGUCCCUGAACAAUGAACCCUUCUGGCUGAAUCAUGUAAAGGUCUUCCUCCAAGUCACCAUGAAGGAAUGCUGUCUUCACAUCUAACUACUCAAGAUGUAAGUUUUCUACAGCCACCAUUCCAAGUACAAGUCUAAUUGUUGACAUCUUCACAACUGGAGAAAAUAUCUCUGUGUAGUCAAUGCCCUCCUUCUGUUGGAACCCUUUAACCACUAAUCUGGCCUUGUAACGUUUGCUACCAUCAUGCUCAUUCUUUAUUCUGUAUACCCACUUGUUGUGCAAAGCCUUCUUUCCUACUGGCAAUUCAAUCAGUUCCCAUGUCUGAUUCCCCAGCAGGGAAUCCAUCUCAUCCUUCAUGGCUAACUCCCACUUGCUUGAAUUCUCAUCUUGCAAGGCUUCAUUAUAACACUCUGGCUCACCACCAUCAGUCAACAGGAGAUAAUUUAAAACAGGUGAAUAACGCUGUGGAGGUCUAAUGUUCCUGGAAGAUCUGCGAACUUCAGCUACAGGUGUACUCAAAUCUACCUGUGAAUUUACAUUCUCCUUAUCUUCUUCACCCCCUUUUUGGACAGUACUUUCAGUCAAUUCAUCUAAGUUGACAAACUCAGAUUUCUUUUGAUCUAUCUCUGUAACAUCUGACGUUACAGUUGACCUGUCCUUGUACAUAACCUGUUCAUUAAAUAUCACAUUUCUACUUCUGAUGAUUUUCCUGUUUUGUUCAUCCCAAAACCUAUAGCCAAAUUUCUUAUCACCAUAGCCAAUGAAAAAACAUAUUUUUGACUUUGCAUCAAGUUUACUACGAGCAUCAGAAUCAAUAUGAACAUAAGAAACACAACCAAAAACUUUUAAAUGUGAAAACUUCACCUCUUUACCGCUCCAAACCUCCUCAGGAAGUCUGAACUCCAUGGGAACUGAUGGUCCUCGGUUUAUCAGGUAAGCUGCAGUGCUAACAGCAUCAGCCCAAAAAGUUUUUGGUAGUCCAGCAUGCAACCUCAUACUUCUAGCAUGCUCAUUGAGAGUUCUAUUCAUGCGCUCAGCCACACCAUUCUGCUGUGGUGUCCCAGGAAUGGUCUUCUCCAUCCUAAUUCCUUGUGCAGCACAAUACUCACUGAAUCCUCCAUCUAUGUACUCUCCUCCAUUAUCUGACCUCAAACAUUUUACUUUCAAACCUGUUUCUGUCUCAACCAUGGCCUUCCACUUCUUAAAAGUUACAAAUACAUCAGAUUUAUUUUUCAGAAAAUAAACCCAUACCUUUCUACUUGAGUCAUCAAUAAAGGUGAUGUAGUACCUUGAACCUCCUAGGGAUGCAACCGGAGAAGGCCCCCACAAAUCAGUGUGUACUAGUUCCAAUUUUUCAGCCUUCGGUGUCCUGCCAAUUUUCAAGAAGCUCACCUUUUUUUGCUUUCCUAAGAUGCAACUUUCACACAUGUCAAAAUCAAUGGACUUCAAUUCUGGUAGUUUUCCUUUUGACAGCAACAUCUUCAUCCCUUUCUCACUCAUGUGACCAAGUCUGCGGUGCCAUAGGCUUGUAUCAGUACUUGCAUCAGCAACUGCAAUUGUGUCUCUUGGACAUGAGGUCAUAUACAGAGUGCCAGUCUUCUUUCCACGAGCCAAUACCCUAGCUCCCUUUGUAACCUUCCAAGUACCACCAACAAAUAGUAUUGCAUGUCCUUCAUCAUCAAGUUGUCCAACAGAAAUCAGAUUCCUCCUCAGGUCAGGAAUAUGUCGAACCUUCUCCAGUAACCAAACAGACCCAUUAGGCAACGAUAUCCGGACAUCUCCCAGACCCACAACAUCCAAGGCUGAACCAUCAGCCAAAUAUACCUUACCAAAAUCACCUGCAACAUAAUUCUGUAUGAUUUCUCGGUGUGGAGUGGUAUGAAACGAAGCUCCUGAAUCCAAAACCCAAUCAUCAAGUGGGUUGUCUACUGCAAGAAGUAAUGCAUCCUGUACCUCUUCUGUUACAGCAUUAGCAGAAUCAUCUUCAUUCUUCUUCUUAGGGCUUUUGCAUUGCCUUUUAAAGUGACCUGUUUUCCCACAAUUCCAGCAUUGUACUUGUUGGCCUGAUCUAGAUUUGCUUCUGUUCCGAUUAGAAUUUCUGGAAUUUGAUCUACCUUGAUUUGAAUUUCCGUUAUUACCUCUACCUCUUGUCUCAAGGUUUAGGGCAGAACCAGAUCCUGAGGUUUCACCUGCAUCUCUUCGGCGAAUCUCCUCAGCCAGAAUUAAAUCUCGUAUAUCAUUGUACUUGAGUUUUUCCUUUCCCGUAGAAUUGCUUACUGCCAUCCUCAUUGCCUCCCAACUGUUUGGCAAAGAAGCCAAGACGAUCAGAGCACGAAUCUCAGUCUCCAAUUACUGUAAGUUGUUAAAAAGAUUAUUUAUUUAUUCUUUGCUACAAAGUAGUCCAUAACAUUAUUGUUUAUAUGGAAUAUUGAAUGAGUUUUGAGAUAGUAAUUAACAUGUUAGAGAUUUCUAACUGGAUUCAUUUUAAUGGAAUCAAAAUAAUCUUAAUCUGCAUGGGAGAAAUAUUUUCGGGUAAAGUGUAUGAAGAUUUUUUCUUAAAUAAGUCAAAAAGCGAUUUAAAUAUUUUAUAACAACAUAAAAUAAUAUGUUAAUUUUGAUUUUGAAAGAUAAUAUUUUAAAUAAUUGUGGAGGAUAAUUUUGUAGAUGAAAAUAUUAAAUUUUUUCAAAAAAGAAUAAUUUUAAUCCGCUUAAUAAAAAAAAUGAUAAUUUUAUUAUUUCAAUAUGUAAAUUUAUUUAAAUAAAAAAUAGAAAAGAAAUUAAUUUUUCUAAUGAAUCACUUAUUAAGGUAAAGUAAUUUUGCUGUAAAAACUUAUUGGAUGUAUAAUUUAAAAAAGGGAGGAUAAAUAUUUUGAAUUAAUUGAUUAAAAGGAAUAAAAUAAUUCCUAUAUUUAUGAUAUUAUGUUUUUUUACUUUGGAAGAGUAACUUAUAAUUAACAUAAAUCUUCUUAAAUAUUUCAAGUAUUUAUAAUAUAUUUUAAAAUAAUGAGUUGUUUUUAUGAAAAUAUUUUUGUUAAAAUGAGGUAAAAAAGAAAAAAGCAAAAAGAAGAAGACAUUUUUGUUAAAAACCGGCCAAAAAAGGGAGAAUGGAUUAGAUUUCCAAAAUGGGUUUCAAUGUAAUAUUAGUUAGUUAAAAUAGUUGAAUGUGGAAAUCUUUGAGUCAAUCACGCUAUGGGAAAAUGCCGCCUUUCAAGUCACUCGUUUGUUUCUGUGGAAGCACGUCACUAUCUAUAGCAUGUAGUCAUCAACGCCGGCUUUGUUGUGGACCUGUGGUUGGUGGGUUUACUUGUACAGAAGUCUAGGUGAAAAGAAUGUUGAAAAUCCUCAAGUACUUCCGCCGACUUCACCAGUUUCUCUUAUGAAAAUUCUUGAAGUACUUGGAUGACUUCAUCUGUUCCCCCUACGAAUGAUUGCCUAUAUGAUUGAUACUAGAAUGAGAGGGAGGAUGGAAAGGUGAGACAGGAAAUUUGAGCAACAAUGUCUAAUGAGAAAAAAAAGGGAAAGUUGUGUUUAUAACCUUAUAUAAAAAAUAUAUAGAUUUCAAAACCCAUAUAACUAAAUAUGGGUUUUACCUGUUAAUAACAAAAAUAUUAUUGAUUUCAUGCAUUAUUUACUAUUUAUAUUCCUAUUUUUGAAAUUACUUUUUUUUUUCUCCUCCCUCCCACCGCCCAUUAAGUUAAGUGGUCCAAAUAAUGUGUGUAUAUAUGAAUAUAUAUAAGUGCAAAGUAAGGCUUCUUCUUCUUGGGUUGAAAAAAAGGCAUGCACUGCACACUCGUCUUGAGAGCACUCACGGACUGAAUCUUGGGUGUAGAAAGGGAAUAACUCAUUGAACCCGAAUUUUCAUACCAUCACGGACUAAGCAUAUUCUUGGACACCAGUGGAGCAUGAAAAUGGCUUUCCAUGGCAUUAAUAAAGGUAAACAUUUCAUUUAUUGUCAUUUNNNNNNNNNNNNNNNNNNNNNNNNNNNNNNNNNNNNNNNAAGGAGACACCCCCCCCCACCCCCCCCCCACCCAUUGUUUUCCGGAAAAUUCUGCUGUCGGCCCCCCUUCGUUUUCCGGGAAAAUUCUGCCCCCCAUUCGUUUCCCCGAGAAAAUUCAUCCUUGUGAUUUCUGAGAAAAUUCAUGCAAAACUCCCAACGAAAACCAAAAAAAUUACUUUUUUUUUUUUUUGCUCCCCGUGUCUUCUGGAUUUGCCCACCCCCCUUCCCUCCAUUCGUUUCUGAAAAAAUUCAUCCUCGUUUGAUUUCCGAGAAAAUCCACCCUCAAGGAAAACCAAAAAAAUUGCUUUUUCUUUUGCUCCCUAUGUUUUUCGAAUCUACCGUCGCCGCCCCCCUUCCCCCCUUCGUUUUCCGGGAAAAUUCAUCUUUGUUUGAUUUCCGAGAAAAUUCAUGAAAAACCCCAAGGAAAACAAAAAAAAUUGAUUUUUUCUGCCCCCAAUCGUUUUCCGUUUGAUUUAUGAGAAAAUCCAUGCAAAACCUCAAGAAAAACAAAAAAAAUUGCUUUUUUUUCUGCCCCAUUCGUUUUCCGUUUGAUUUCCGAGAAAAUUCAUACAAAACUCCAAGGAAAACAAAAAAAAAAUUUGCUUUUUUUUCGGCCCCCCAUUUCGUUUUCCGGGAAAAUUCGCCCUCGUUUGAUUUCCGAGAAAAUCCAUGCAAAACCCCCAACUCGGAAAUCAAAUGAGGAUGGAAACGGGGAGAGGGGGGGUUGAGCUGCAGAGGAGGGGGAGACAUGGGGGAGAAAAAAAAAAUGGUAAUUUCGGAAAUAGGAAUAUGAAAAAUAAAUAGUGUAUGAAAGCAAUAAUAUUUUUGUUAUUAACAUGUAAAACCCAUAUUUCAAUUAUAUGGGUUUCCAAAUCUAAUAUUUUUUAUAUAAGGGCUUAUAAACACAACGAGAAAAAAUGAGGAAGUUUAUAAUCAGUACUGUACGGCGAAGAGAGAGAAGGUUGUACGAGGCAUCAGCGAAUGGAAGCGUGAAUUCCUUGAAGCAGUUGAUGGCAGAAGAUCCACUCGCACUAGCCCGAGCUUCAGUCACUUGCUUUGAUGAGACUCCACUCCACAUAGCUGCCAUGCUUGGUCACCUAGACUUUGCAAAAGCGCUUGUUACUCACAAACCAGACAUGGCUAUGGCGAUAGACUUGCAGGGUCGUUCACCUUUGCACUUGGCCUCUGCCAAUGUCUAUAUUGAGAUAGUUAACAUGUUAUGUCAUUGAAUUCCAAUGCAUGUCUCAUCUGUGAUGAGGAUGGAAGAACACCCCUUCAUCUGGCGGUGAUGAAGGGCCACGUUGAGGUCACAAGGGAGCUGGUUAGGGCCCGACCAGAAGCCACUGGGCACAAAUUGGAUCACGGGGAGACCAUUCUGCAUUCGGCUGUGAGACAUAAUCGUUUAGGAGCUCUGAAGCGGUUAGUUGAAUCAGUAAGGGAGGCUGAGUUUAUCAAUGCCAGAGAUGAUUAUGGCAACACUGUUUUGCACACUGCUACAACCUUGAAGCUGUUGGAGGUAAAAUUUUCGUCAAUUCUUUAGGCUCUUACCUAUACCAAUUUGUAUAGUGAAGGUAACAUCGCCAUAUUAAUUUCUCAGUCUAAUUAACUAGACCACUAUUGAUCAAUCUGUACAGACUGUUAGGUAUCUGCUCAAUGGAAGUAUGGUGGAAGUAAAUGCAGUGAAUGAAAGCGGUUUGACAACUUUAGAUAUCAUUGAACAUAUGCCAAGAGACUUGAAAUCCAUGGAAAUCCGAGAAUCACUAUCAAAAGUUGGAGCUUUAAGAGACAGGAAUGUACCUGCCAAUGGAGAAUGUGAGACAGCUAUGGUGAUCGAGGAGUCUCGAUUAGAUUCCGUAGCACAACCUCUGGACGUUUCUCCAAGAGUAUCAAUUCCAUGAGCAAUCUCACGAGGCAUCAGUAUUAAGAAACGUUUGGAAAAUCAAGAAAAUUGGUUGAAAAACAAACGUGAAGCUUUGAUGAUAACGGCAGGUGUGAUUGCAGCCAUGGCAUCUCAAGCUGGGCUUAAUCCUCCCGGCGGCAUUUGGCAGGAUGACAAGUCUGGUCACGUUGCCGGAACAUCAAUAAUGGGUGAUUAUUAUCCAGCUGGGUACCGUGAAUUCUGGAUAUACGACACCGUAGCCUUUGUUAUUUCUGUAAGCACAAUUUUUUUGCUUAUAUCUAAUGGUGACCGUGUGGGACAUAAUAACAUGCAUGGCGCUCGCCUACUUGAUUUCACUGUCGGCCGUUUCACCACAUCAUGAGGUGAAUGUCAUUGCUCAUGUAAUUUCCAUUUCAGUUUUCAUAUGGUUGGGUCUGAUUGGGAUUGUUUUCUUGGUGCACUUUUUAAUAGAUUUUUUAAAGGUUAUCAGGAGAAAUGGGUCAAAAAAAAAACUCACAAAAUUGCGAAAAUGGAUCUCUUAUUAAUUUUGUUAAAAUUUGAUCACUUUGGACAACUUUGUGUUAGAAAUUUACAUGCUAUAUUCGAUUCCAAUAUGCUUGCAACAUGAAUCAAAACCGAAAAGACUAAGAAUAGUCUACUUACCUCCAGCCAUUGUAGUUGGUUUCAAAAACCCAGAUUUCCAAACUCUGAUCUCUCCUUUUUUAGAUGGUGUUUUUUCUGAAGAUAAUAGCAGAGUGAGUUCGGGACCAUUUUCUGAAAAAAUUUAUAACAGUGGCUUCCAUCAAACCACGUUGCCUCUUGCCACCAUGUUGAGCAGUUGGUGGAACGUGCUCCUUAAUCGUAGCGGAAGUGAGAUGGUGGAAGACGUGGUCAAAGUGUUGGACCAUAUCAUGAAGUGAGAACGUGUGAACUCACACGUGUAUUCAGCUUACACUUUGCUCCUCUAUUUUAUUUCCCUCAAAAAACAUCUUUUUUUUUCCUCCCAUUUCUUUUUAUCUUCUAUAAUCUCUCAAGAUCCAUUUAUAUCUCUAACUUUCCCGAGAAAUCCAACUUUUUUUUAUUAUUUAUUUAUUUAUUUUUUUAUCAUCUACCUUUUAACAGACUCCCAUUUCUUCUUAAUUAAUGAUAUUUUGGGAAGACCUCCUAUAAUACUUCCUUUCAUAAAUCAUGUUCUCAUCAUUGUUGUAAUUAUUAAUAAAAUAAACUAAAUAAAUAAUAAGAAAAAUAAAAAGUUGAGAGAAAUAUAUGACAAAUGAUUUUUUUUUUUUUUUUGUUCUUAUUCAAGAUAACCAAUCCUUGAAAAUUAUUUGCAAUGGAUAAACUUCAGUGGGUGAUUUCUCAACAAAUGCCCCAACCCAUUCAUGUUCUUGAACCAAAACAAGUACUCUUCUAUGUCACUUGAUUUUUUGUAUGAUUAAAAUAUAUGUGGGUUCACAAUUGUAUUACAUUGUCUCCUCAUAACUCUUUAUUCUUCAUUUGUUUAUAUAACCAUCAUUUUGAAAUAAUAGCAACAAAUUAUCAAUGAACUUUAAUUUUAUUACUAGAAAAUUAAUUAGAACACAAAAAAGUCUAUCUCUAAAGAAAAUGAAAAAACAAUGUUCAAUAUCCUUCAUUGAGGAUCGUACAGAGGUCACCAUUAUCAUAUUCAAAAUCACACAUCACACUAGGGAUGGGUUGGACAAAAAAACAAGAGAAAAAGCUUUAAUGAGGAAGAAAAGAUUGGAAAAAAAACAUUUUUGUAGAGAGAGAGAAAGGUCAAUUUCAUUUCUCAACAACCAAGUGCACCUUAAUGGAAAAACAAAAAACAAAGAAAAUUUGGGAAAAAAAAAUAUACUCCUUUCUUAAGCAAACCAUAUUGUAGAACAAUCAAAAUUAAAAAUGUUUUCACCUUCAAUCAUAAAUGGAACUUCGAAAAUCAAAUAAAUUCAGUAUGUUACCAUCACAAGCCUAGGUUGAGUGCUUCACACUUCUUGGAUCACUUUCUGCUACAUAUCUCUGUAUGAAGAUUAGAUCCUCUAUUAAAACCCUAAAUUAAAGAAUGAACGAACAAGAACCCAAAUGAGUUUAAGACUUAAUAGAAAGUGCAAGCCUUUUUAUUUGAACUUAACUCAUGUUUGGUUACCAAUUUUAGGGCAACAUUCCAUUACCUAUUUGACACUCAUCGACUUAUAUGUUAUUUGACAUGGUGAUUGAUAAGGUUAUUUUUAUCUCUCACAUUUCAUCCCCUUGGAUGUUUUGCUUAAUUUAAUUAGUCAUGUUUUAUAUUUUUGUCUCUCACAUUUCAUAUCCUUCAUAGCAAUUAUAUAAAAUUUGUGGUUUAUGAUCAUUAUCACCUCCAUUUACUACUUUACUGUAAUCGUCCCUAUUUUAUUUACAAAGACAUCAUAUAGUGCACUGGGGACGGACACAUAACAUCAAACAACACACAAACAAGUAAAGAAGGGGGAAGUAUUAACAAGAGAAGAGGCUUUUGAGUGGAGAUGGCAAAUGAUUGGCCUCUUAUAUUAGCUGACCCUGAAGCAAUAUAGGAUAGCUUUUCGCACGUUCCGCACACACUAUAUGAGGAAACGGAUAGUGUGAACCAAUGCAACAAUGGAAAGCACACCAAACCACGCACAUACCGAAUACCAAAACACACUAGUGAUAUACUGAUAUCAGGCAACUUAUUUCUCAGUGACGUGGCUUCGCUGUCAUCCUUUGUGGGUGAAAUGAUCACCAUAGAAACCAAGUAGGUGAGUGCCAUGCCUGUUAAUGUUAUCCACAUGAUAAUCAUUAGAAGCCACACCAAGAUCCUUUUCCUCACGAAAGGUACCCCACUUACGACCAGAAAGACUAUCCUUAGCGAAGCAAAGAAACACACCGCGUUGCAUGCCAUGAACAGUUGGUAGUCUUCUGGAUAGUAGUGGGCCAUUAUGGAGGUUCCAGCUGACAUCUUACCCCCACCGGAGUUUUUAUCAUCAUCCCAAACACCACCGGGAGGAUUAAGCGCACUUUGGAAACCCAUUCCUGCAAUCAACGUUGCAGCUACCAUCAAGGCGUCACGUUUCUUUUUCAUCCGCUCUUUCUUAUUUUCACGUAUUUUCAUCUCACGCCCUCGCAAGGGUGUCGAUGCUUUUGCUUCUGUGAGAACUGCAGCUGGUGGGGGUGGAGAUGAUUGGGAGUUCUCAAUCACCAUGGUUAUACCACUUUCUCCCUUGAAUUCGUGACCCAUGCCUGGUAACGCAGGCAUGUUUCUGGAACUUAAAGCUACAGCUUUAACUAGAGAUUCUCGGAUCUCAAUACUUUCAAGUCUCUCGGCAUAUGUUAUGUUUUAUAAAAUAUUUUUAAAAAUGAUAUAAAAAUAUUAAUAAUAAUUUGAUAAUAAAAGAUUAAAUUAUCUUAAUUUGAUUAAUAAUUAACACAUAAAAAAUUCUAAAAUUUAAAUUUUAUAAAUCAUUACAUAUUGGUUAUUUAAUAUAACAUUUCUAUCUAUAAAAUUUAUAUUUAAAUAAAAAAUAUCUAAUAUUACAUUUAAUACUUGUAAUCACUUGAAAUUGAAAUCCUUUAUUUUCUUCAUAAAAUACAAAAUUUUUAUUUUUUUUCUUAAAAAAUUUUGAAUUUGAUUUAUCAAAACACAUUAUACAUAUUUUACAAUAUGUUAGUUAAAAUUAUUUAAUUUUUAUAUUAAAUUAGUAUUUAUAUAUAUAUAUAUAUAUAUAUAUAUAUAUAUAUAUAUAUAUAUAUAUAUAUAUAUAUAUUAUAUAUAUAUUUAAAUUAGCAUCUUUUUGAAAGUUAGGUAGUUCGUUAAAUAAUAUAUUAUAUUUGAUAUUUAAUAAUAAAUUAUAUAAAAUGUUGUAAUAUAUGAUAUGCACGUGAUUAUUUAUCCGAUUUAAAAAGUUUUACAUGUGUCAUUUUAUAGCAAAAGGGUCCUUCCUUUUUUAGAGUUAGGUACUUCAUUAAAUAAUAAAUUAUAUUUGAUAUUUAAUAAUAAAUUAUAAAAAAUGUUGUAAUAUAUGUGUGGACCCCGCAUUUCGGCUCAUGCAUUCCCCACUCAAUGGCGAGCUCGAUUUUAUUUUGAAAAACGAUUUAAUCGGUUAAAAAAAAUGACUUGGAGUCACCACUUAUUUUUGUUUUAUUUUUAAAAGGGUAAACAAAAUAAGAAAGAAAAACCCUAAGUGUGACUCCUUAUUUGGAAAAAGUGAUCUACGAAAAAUCGGAUCGGGUUCGGGGAUCAGGUUACUUAUCAGGAAGGUACAGUAAAGACCGUAGCACCCCUCUAAGUCCCUAAAAUGGGUCUCUACUAAUAAAAUGAAGCUGACGUGGCAUCAAUAGGAAAAUCAAUGAAUAUCCGGAACUAUCAUGCACAUAUGAGAAUCAAAGCAUGCAUAUAGAAAUACCAGAAUGUGAAUAGAUAUGUACCUGGGCGACGAGCCACAAUAAGCUUAUCAAAAAGUGAGGUUAAUGCACAAUUAAGAAAUAAUUUCGAGCAUGGAUACCAAAUGAAUAUUACUCAAAACAAAAAUAAUUGAAUGAACAGGAGAGGCAAAUAACGUACCUGAGUGAUGAACUGGUUUACUUCAGUGAAAACAAAUGUUAGCAAUUAAACACAAAAUAAUCGUGUGUGUAUCAUAGAAUAGUGUAAAUCAAUCACAUAUAGCAAUCAAAUCAAUCAAUCCAUUAGUCAUGAAUUCACAUAUGUGGGGCCUCCCACCAAAGCCCAUUUUAUCUUGCCUGAAUCAAUUCCGAUAACUCCAUUGUUCGGAAUUACGGAAUUUGAUUCCUUACUUAUUUCAAAACAUUUUAAAAACUAAGGAAGUAUGAAAAUUGCUUGCCAGAAAUAAAAGUGACAGCAAAACUUUAUUAAAAAUGUGAUUUUGGAACUUAAAGAAACUCUAAGGAUGAAGUAUGAGACAAUUGGGACUAUUUGAAUACCAGCCUAGCUAAAAAAUCGUGGGUUUAGGGUUUGCGAAAUUUAAUUUUAAUGGCCCCUAGAACAGAUCCAUAAAAUAGGGGGAGGGAAAAAACACAACUUUCCCUAUAUAUUAGAUGGGUGUCUCCCAAGUCCUAUCCCACUCCCAACCACUCAGAUUCUGCAGGCUUGACGGAGCUCUGCUUUUUGUUGUUUUUUGCAAACAUAUCAAUCAUUCGGAACUUGAACAAACCUUGAUGCCUAUCUUUUUACCAAUCCCCAUUUAUGUUCCUCUUAAUUUCUCUCCACCUCCAUACAGAUUACAUAAUUACAUUACUUCUAGCUAUGUGCCCAUACAAUCAAUUUAACCUUAGUCUAACUCUCCUUCCUUCAUGGUUCUCUAAACCUCACUUACAUUUAGUGUUUUAUUAUUGUAAUUUCUUGUCCUUCAUGAUUUCUCAUGACAUUGCACUUAGAGCAUAUAGAAAACUCCCUGCCCUUCAAAAUUUUCCCCAUUUACUUUUCUUAGUAGCGCUUCUUGAUUUCAUACUUGUUUGCAGGGUAAAAGGAUUGUAACAUGCACCCAUCCUAGACCACUUUUGUGAAUAGAAACUAUUCUGAAUUCACUAUCUCUUGUUUUUAUUGUCUAACCCACUAACACCAUGAUAUUUUUUGAAUUAUAUAGGAUAACUGUAGUCUGUAGCCUAUAACCAUAAUAUCAAUUGCUUUUCAUCAUACUUCAAAUUAUUUUAGGGAAAAUUCUAAGACGUAUGAUUAAAUCUAGAUCAAUGUAGUAUGUGGCCUAACUUUUUGGCCACGUGGUUGUUCUUGAUUGGACAUCACUAGCACCAUAGCAAGAUCCUUAUCCUAACUUUUGAGUUUAUGCAUGUUACUGAGAUAUGGAAAAACGUUUAUGCCAACACCCGACUGAGGAAGAAUGGACCCUGUUUGUACCAACACCCAACUAAGGAACACCAAGCCUAAAGUUAGGUUUGAAAAAGCACUACUUUUGGACCUUAUUUGUAAAGAAGAAUCUUCAAUGAUUGUACAGAGGCUGCUUGCUUAAAGAACAACAUCUUUAGGAACCAAAGGCUUUAUGAUUCGGAUGACACAUUCAAAUCUAAACCCACACCUUCAACCAACUUGAUGAAAAUUUUUGUGGAAGAAAAUUAGGUAUUAUGCUUGAAUUUGGUCUUGAUUUCACUUUUAAUGGACUAAAACCAAUGUUGUUCCUUGAAGACAUAGUCAAUAUUUGAUGUUGCUCUGGUGGCUCCUACAAUAAUUGAGAGAGGCACAGUAGAGGCUGAAGGGCUAUAGGAGUAGAGAAUUUUAGUAUGAUGAGGAGUUCAACAAAGUACAUACAUAACACCUAUGGAAAGAAAAAUAAGAACCAAGUACAAAUCUAUCAUGGAUAUAAAAGAGUUUGAUGCUAUGCUCUUUAUGGAUGAGUUCAACUGAUAUAUCCAUCCUAAGCUUCAGAGCUCUGAUAUGGACUUAAAUUAAAUUAAUUGAGUUCAAGAUGCAUAAUGCUUCAGAGGAUAGAACGAUUUAUACCUUAAGAUACUAUUUGAUUGCUAUUUGUACCUUAUUACUAAGAAGGACAAUAUGCUGAUUAGCUUUUCUAGACUUAAACAGCAAAAUAAAAUACAACAAGAUUGCUUGAAUUCCAAUUGAUUAAAUUAACUCAAGAUUAUUCAUGCUAAGUGGGAGCUUUUUGGAAUUGAUAUUGAGAUAGUUGUGCUACAGAAUUGUGAUAAAAAAAUGGCGUUGUGGUACAGAAACACAAUACAUUUACACGUACACACAAACAACUCAUGCUUACUUUUUAUCACCUUGUGUGACAGCUAAUAACUCUGUCUCUCGUAGUCUAUGGGCCUCAUUUCUUUAAGUAGUUCACUGGUACCUCUUUUAGUUUGAUCCCUUCAGAUUGGGGACCCUUAGCUCUAUGGGGUCUUUUUGGUUAGUAACCUAUGGUACUAGGUGAGCUUUGCCAGAGUUGCUCUGUGGGGUCUUGAUGUUGUAUGCGUUGUGUAUGUUUUUUUUGAAAUUUAAUACAAUCUUCAUUUACGUAUAAAAAAAAAUAGGGGUAGAUGUUUAGUCUUCUUGAAAAAACAGAAGUGCAUUCAGUUCUAAGGUUUUUGUCUAAUGCAUAUUUUUUAUCGGAAACAACAAAGUUAAUUUAAAUGAACUGAUAAGUACAAAGAAGGAUGCAUAUCCUUCCAAAACAAACAAGAUAAGAUGCAAUUUUAUUAUCAUUUCAGGGUUAUUUAAUUUAAAGUUGUUUUUGAUUCCUUCUAUCUUCUUCGCUAACAUGGUAGAACUGCUCUGGACUCUAAACAUGCGACUUCCUUUUAGGCUUGUUUUGUUGUUUGGGAAAUAAUUUCUGGAAAUGGUAAAACAAGAUAGCUACUGUACUUGCAAGAUAAGAUUGUAGGUAUUUUGCUAAUGGCUAUACGUAUUCCGAAUUGAGAUAAUCGACUUCAGUUUUGGAUUCCACUUUCUUGGAAAUGGGCUAGACAGACCAGCCACUCACCCACUUAAAACAACCUUUUUGAUGAAAUAGCUAGCAGCAUCACAAUCAUUGUGAUAUUAUAUAUCAUUUGAUAUGGGGAAGUUUCUUUCUGAUUUUGUUUUCCUUCAAAAAAAAAAGAGCUCGGGAGAAGCAUGAACUCUAACAUAGGUUGAAUGUAAAGGGUAGAUAGCUUGAUUAAUUAAAAACUGAUUUUCAGUUAUUGCUAAUGUUGUUGCUGCUACUAUUAUUGUUGUUAUUGUUAUCGUGUUUAUGCUUAAAAAUAGGAUGAAGACAUUAAGAACCUCAAUCAAUAUAAGUUCGUCCCGCAACUCCCGUGACUCUCGCUGAAACUUGAAGUGUUGGCUCAAACUUGUACUACCAACAUUCCAAACCAAAAUUUGAUUCCUCCAACAUGAAAAUUGAUUCCAUUCCUCAAACAUGCUAGAAUUUCUUCAUGCUAGAAUUUAUUCUGCUUCAAUUUGUCAUCUGAUCAACUCUGUGCAGAAUGAAUUUAUCUCAUAUGCUGAUAGUCUCUUUUCAUUCCUCCAUUCCCUAUAUUAAGUCAUAACUUUCUACAUUUUCCUUAUUUCUACAGGAAAAAGAGGCGAAGAAGGAAGCUUUUAGGAAGUAUUUAGAAUCUAGUGGAGUUUUUGAUGCUCUGACCAAAGGUUCUGUUGUAUUUAACUUUCUAGAUUAUGAAUUACUAAAAUGCAGUUGGCAACCUAUUUAUGAAUUUCCUGUCUCAUAAUGUGGGCUUUUUUUGGGUGUGCUUGUUGUGCAGUCCUUGUUGUACUAUAUGAGCAGAAUGACAAAGCCUCUUCUGAUGUUGAGUAAGUUCAUCACUGUGGUCUAGGCAUUGUGUUCUUGAAAAACUGAAACAAUUUCAAAUUAUUUAUUGCCAGCUUUUGGAUUUCCAUUAAGGAUUAAAAUCUAUACUAUCAUAUUUACCAUACUAAUAAGAAAAGGAAUCGGCAACUGGUGAAAGGUAAAUAAUCCAGUUUAGCAAAGACCAUUGAAAAACAAGCUUGGAAAAUCCAUACCACGUCUCAGCUGAGUAGGGGAUUGUAAUGGCUUGGAGAUAUGAUCUGUAGUAAUAUAUGUACAUACAUUUAAACAAUCAUACUCACACAUGUAAAUAUGUAAUAUUGAUCAAAUGUCAUAACCUAACUUCUUAUAUAUAUUGUUUUGCAGGUUUGUCCAACAGAAGUUAGGUGGUCCAAUUGUGUCUGAAUAUGAAAAGCUACAAGCUGACAUGUUAGAUCUGCAAAUAAAGUAUAAUGAGUUCUUGCUAGCGCACCAAGAGACCUGCAGACAGGCAUGACUUCAAUCACUUAUUAUGGCAGCAUUUUGGAUAACAUAUAUUGCAAUUAAUGACUGCCACAGUCUAACUACUAAUUUAUGCAUUCUGAUUCUUUUAACAAGUUCCAUCACACUUGGAUGAUGUGUCUAAUGAAAAGUUUGAAAUGUUCUAAAAACUAGUAGUCACAAUAAGCCCACAAACAUAAAAAUGGAGGAGAGAGAGAGAGAGAGGGCUGUAGAGAGAGUGAGUGUGAGUAAGGGAGGAGAUCCAGCGGAUCUGUGCGCGAGCGAUGGUGAGAAAGAUUUCAGUGGCCUGGAAGCUCGUACCAGCCGGUGGAAGAGAAGCUUCGAGGUGGAGUCAAAGACUUUCGAGAUCGAGGUUGAGAGACAAAAAGGCAAUACGCAAGUCUUCAUUGAGGAAAGGAAAAGAGGGGUUUCCUCGUGGAUUAAGAUGGGGCCGGAGAGCCUAGGGUUUGUUGUGGAAGAGUUGGCUUUGUGUAUUAAGGAUACACGAACAGGCAGAUGGGUCAGAAAUUGGAGGGAGAGAGGGAGAGAGGGAGGAUCUUUUCACUGUUGCGGGAUGAGAAUAAGGGAGGAAGUUUCAUCCGUCUGGGUGUAGAGGAUUUGGAGAAGAAGAGGUUUAAUAUUUUUAUCCCCAAAGGAAAUUCAGGGAAAGGGGGUUGGAUUGCGAUGUUGGAAACACUUAAGGCGCUGGUCGUUACUACGGAGAGGAAGGAGUGUCAGAAGGAGGAGAAGAUGUCGGUGGCGCUAUGUGCGGGGAGUAGCUACGCGGAAGUGGUGAAGGGACAGGAACGUAAUGGCAGGUCAGUGGCUAGGGUAGAAGUAAGCCACAAGGACCUAUGCCAAAACCUAAAAAGGCUGGAUCAAUGCAUUGUUGGAUUGAGGGAUCCGAAGUCAGUCAAGGGGGAGGAUUUGAGGAGUUGGGGGAACCAAAUGGCUCGAUUGUGGGGGCUGAGGGUAAUUUAGGUUUGGCUAAGUUAGAAAAGGGUAAGGUGUUGUAAGAGUUUGAGAUGAGUGCUGAAGCCGAAAAAGCCUUAAAUAUGAGAGGGAUUUUGGUAGGGAAGACACUACUGCGACUGGAGAAGUGGAACCCUAGGACGGGGUGUCUGUUAGAAGGAGAGGAGAAGAGUGAGGCCUAGGUGAGAAUUGUGGGGCUUCCCAUCUCGUUGUGGGAUCGGGACAUCUUUAGAAAGGUUGGGGAGAAAUGCGGGGGGUUCUUAGCGAUUGAUUCUCAAACAGAGAGGCUGGAAGAGUUGCAGUGGGCAAGAAUCCUGGUGAAACUAUCCGGCGAGGAGCUCCCUAGCAUGCUAGAAAUUGGGGUCGAGGGGGUGUGUUACUUGCUUGUCCUAUGGUGGGAAGUAAGGCCGGUAAUGAGAGUGUUGCCGGCAGAAAGGAGGGGAAAGAACAGUGGUGAUGCUGCAGGAGGGGUUGAGGGUGAUGUCACUACACGCGCGGGUAAGCGCGUGGUGGAAGUGGUGGAAGGCACGAGGCUCGAGACCCACCUGCAGUCUGUUGAUGGGACGAGGGAGCAGACAGGUGGGUCGGGGUCCCUUUGGGCUCGGUCCCGAGGCCCAAAAGGGCCGGGUCUGGGGGACCAAGAAGGCUUGCUUGGGAGGCUUGGCCCUACUGGGCCUCCUCGAGGCCUUGACUUGGGUGUUAGGCCCGAUGGGCUCGAUUCGCCUAAGGCUGGGCCACUUUCCAAUGGGUCUUCGUCAUUUGAAGGGCCUUCGUCCUUAGAGGGCCUUAGGCCAAUGGAGUCCAUUAAGUCGGGUGGGCUAUCUGGGAAGGAAGAUUGUCAUGAUCCAUCUGGAGUGGCUCUGCCUCUUGUGUGGGCUGGCCCAAGUCAAUUGAAGGAGUCAGAUGCUAAAGGCUUCCCUUUCUGGGAUUAUGAUGGUAAGCGGAGGCAAGCUGAAAUGGAGCCUUGUCUUGCGGAGAAGUCAAGGACCGACUGUGCCUUAAUUGAAGAAGCGUCGAGGUACGGGUGUGUUCCUAUCCCUUGUGGCUUAAUGGCAUCUGGACUCUCUCCUUCUUCUCUCUUCUUUUUUGGUUGGACCCCGUUGGGGGAUUUUUGCGACAUUUCUAGGGAUGAUAGGGUAACCCAUCUGAGAGAAACUCCCUUACGUAUGCUUCUCCCCUUAGGACCCCCAAAAGAGGAAAAUGCUUGCCGCUGGGAUUUGAGGGAGGGCCCAAGCGCCUGCAAGGAGAGCAGUGGUAAGGAGCUGAGGCUAGCCCAAUCGAUGCCACGUGAUGGAAAGGAAUGGGAGGAGGAAAGUUAGGAGGAAAGUGAGUUGGCCAAAUUUAGUAAGUUCUUGGGAUUUUCUACAGAAGGUCUGGAGAAAGAAAUUUUGGAGUUUUUGAUUAAAAUCCGAAAGAGAAGGGAAAAGGUCCACAACAAAAACCUUCUAGAAAAAUCCAAGUUUGAAAGGGAAUUGAAAAGGCUGGAAUGCUCUAUUAACUACGAGGGGGGGAAGAAACAGAAGAGUGGAAUGAUAGUAGGAGGGUGUCAGAUUAUGGUGGUCAAAUGAAGCUUAGAAUCUUGAGCUGGAAUGUCCGGGGAGCUAACGACAGCUCGAAAAGAAAGGUGAUUAAGGCCAUGAUCAGGAGUCAAAGAGUGGAUCUGUUCUGUCUCUAGAAGACCAAGAUUCAGGCAAUGACAGAGGGGCUGGUGAGAAGCUUAGGCACUGACAGGUUUCUUAAUUGGGGUACUCUGGAUGCCCAGGGGUCCGCGGGAGGGAUUCUGAUCUGCUGGGAUAAGAGAACCUUGGAAAUAAUGGAAAUGGAAGUGGAGAGCUUCUCAAUUUCAUGUAGGAUGAGAAAUGUGGAAGACGGACUAGUCUGGAUGUUUACUGGGGUUUAUGGGCCAUUUUCUGAAGAGGACAGGGAGUAGAUGUGGAGGAAAUAGGAGCAAUCCGAGGCAUUUGGGAGGAUCCAUGGUGUAUAGGGGGUGACUUCAAUGUCACCCUGUCACUGAGGGAAAAAAGUAAUCAGGGGAGACUAACGAGUGCAAUGAGAAGGUUUGCUCAAGUUAUUGAUGAGCUAGAACUCAUUGAUCUUCCAUUACAAGGAGGGAUGCUUACUUGGAGUGGGGGGAGGAAUAAUCAGGCGUGGGCCAGAUUGGAUAGGUUCCUGGUGACCUAAAGUUGGCUUGACCACUUCAGUGAGGUUGUGCAAUGUAGGCUGCCCAGACCGACCUCAGAUCAUUUUCCUAUUGUGCUGAUGGGUGGAGGGUUAAGGAGAGGUCCGUCCCCGUUUAGGUUUGAACAUAUGUGGCUUAAAGAUGACGGCUUCAAGGAUCUUCUUAGGGGCUGGUGGCAGGGAGUUGAGGCUAGAGGGAGGGUCAGUGUCAGACUAGCCGCUAAAAUGAAGGUGCUGAAGCAUAAGAUUAAAGUGUGGAACAGAGAGGUGUUUGGUAGGCUGGAAGCUAACAAAAACUCAGCCCUGCAACAAGUGGAGUUUUGGGACGGGGUGGAAAGGGAAAGGAGCUUGUCUGAAGGUGAAACUAAACUGAAAAAAGAAGCCAAGGAUUUCUUUAAAAAAGGGUCUUAUUGGAGGAGACCCACUGGAGACAAUUGUCAAGGGAAUUGUGGCUUAAGGAGGGAGAUAGAAACACUGGAUUCUUCCAUAGAAUGGCUAAUGCUCACCGAAGGAAUAACUCUCUGGAUAGAAUAAAAAUUAAUGGAGUUUGGAUGACUAAGGAGCAGGAGAUAAGGGAGGGAAUAGUGAGUGCUUUUCAGCAGGUGCUUUCUGAAGAACCAGGCUGGAGGACAGAUAUUGAGGGGCUGCACUUUAAAUGUCUAAGUUCCAGUGAAGCUGAAACUCUGGAGGUGCAAUUUACUGCAGAGGAAAUUUACGCAGCCUUAAUGGGUAUGAAUGGGGAUAAAGCUUCGGGCCCGGAUGGGUUCACAAUUGCUUUUUGGCAAUCAAGCUGGGAGUUAGUGAAGGAGGAGAUUAUGGAAUUGUUUAGAGAAUUCUAUGACCAGUGUUCUUUUGCCAACAGUCUUAACUCCACCUUUAUAGUCCUCAUUCCUAAGAAAGGAGGGGCUGAAGAUUUGGGUGAUUUCCGAGGACCAAAACGCCUUUGUGAGGGGCAAACAGAUCUUGGAUGUGUCUCUUAUUGCCAAUGAGGUGAUCGACUUCUGGCACAAGAGAAACGAGAAAGGGCUGAUCUGUAAAUUGGACACUGAGAAAGCCUAUGACAGUAUUAAUUGGAACUUUCUCAUGAAAGUUCUGGUCAAAAUGGGUUUUGGGUCGCGGUGGUUGGAGUGGAUUUGGUGGUGCAUCUCUACCGCCAAAUUUUCAGUCAUGAUCAAUGGGGUGUCGGCUGGUUUCUUCUCGAAUUCUAAGGGGCUAAGACAAGGAGAUCCCCUCUCCCCGUAUCUUUUUGUGUUGGGGAUGGAAGUUCUUAGUAAUCUAAUUAGAAGGGCGGUUGAUGGAGGUGUCUUAUCAGGUUGCAGAAUUCGGGGGAGAGGGGAAGAGGAGAUGAUAGUUUCCCACCUGCUCUUUGCUGAUGACACGAUCAUCUUUUGUGAAGCUAGCAAAGAGCAAUUGUCCGCUCUAAGCUGGAUUUUGGCUUGGUUUGAGGCGGCCUCUGGUCUUAGAAUUAAUCUUGAUAAAAGUGUCCUAAUUCCAGUUGGUGAGGUGGAAGAUAUUGAGGAGCUGGCUGUGGAACUUGGUUGUAAAGUGGGUUUGUUGCCCACUGUUUACUUAGGGCUGCCCCUUGGAGCUCAUCACAAAGCUGUCUCCAUUUGGGAUGGGGUGAAAAAGAGAAUGAGAAAGAGAUUAGCCCAGUGGAAAAGACAUUAUAUUUCAAAGGGAGGGCGUAUCACCUUAAUCAAGUGUACUAUGGCCAGCCUUCCUAUUUACAAUAUGCCCCUUUUUCGAAUGUCGAAGAGUAUUGUAAGGAGACUCGAAAAAUUACAAAGAGACUUUCUUUGGGGAGGGGGCAGCUUGGAGAGGAAGGCCCAUUUAAUUAAUUGGGAGGUGGUGUGCACUCGAAGGGAGAAGGGUGGCCUUGGCAUUCGGAAGAUUGACUCCCUGAACAAAGCUUUGUUGGGUAAAUGGGUUUGGAGAUUUGCCAUGGAAAAGGAUAAUCUCUAGAGGUUAAUGAUUGGGGUGAAAUAUGGUCAGGAAGAGUUUGGGUGGAGAACUAAAGAAGCCCGUGGUACUUAUGGAGUGGGGGUUUGGAAGAAGAUUAUGAAGGAAGCUAAGUGGUGUUGGGAGAAUACAAAGUUUAAGGUAGGGAAAGGGACUAGAGUAAAAUUCUGGUCUGACCAGUGGUGUGGGAAUGAGAGGCUGUCCCAUUCUUUUCCCCAGCUUUAUGAGAUGGCGGUCAACAGGAAUGCAACGGUUAAUGAGAUGUGGGAUCAUAGCAGUGGUCCAGGAGAUUGAAAUCUUAGAUUUCAUAGAGACUUUAAUGAUUAGGAGCUGGACUUGAUUAGAGGAUUGCUUAUUGUGGUCAGGGACUUCAAGCUAUCUUCAGAGGAGGACGUGGUGCUUUGGAAAGGNNNNNNNNNNNNNNNNNNNNNNNNNNNNNNNNNNNNNNNNNNNNNNNNNNNNNNNNNNNNNNNNNNNNNNNNNNNNNNNNNNNNNNNNNNNNNNNNNNNNAGAGGCGUUUGGGUGGACUAGGUCCCAACCAAAGUGGCUUUUUUUGCUUGGGAAGCCGUGUGGGGGAAGAUUCUCACCCUGGAUAGGCUUCAAAAACGGGGCUGGCAGUUUCCUAACCGAUGUUGUUGUGUGGUUGUGAAGAGGAGAGUGUAAAUCACAUUCUUUUACAUUGUAUAGUGGUAAGGGCCUUAUGGGAAAUCGUUUUUGCCCUUGUGGGGGUUCAGUGGGUGUUCCCAGAGUUGGUGAAGGAGGCGUUAUUCAGUUGGAGGGGCCCCUUUGUGGGGAAAAAGAGGAAAAAAAUUUGGAAUUCUAUCCCGUUGUGUAUAUUUUGGACGGUAUGGAAGGAAAGGAAUAGGUUAGCUUUCAAGGGAGGGGUGUUAAAUAUUCAAAAACUCAAAAAUUCAUUUGUUUGUACCUUGUGGAGUUGGGCUAGGGUGUAUAUUGGAAAGGAGUCCUCUUCACUAUUAGGUUUUUUGGAGUGGCUAGCGGCCACUUAAGGGAGGGUAAGGGUGCUUGUUUUUUUGUGAUAUUUAUCAAAAAAAAAAAAAAGCCCACAAACAUAAUUGAUAGUAACAAAAUAAUAAUUUCUUGUUGUGAGCCUAUUGGUUCUUUCUUCUCAUCUGAGAGAGCGAGUGCGUGUGUAAGGAAGGGAGAGAGACACUGCUCUGAGGUACCACAAAAAGAAAAGGAAAAACAAGGUACCAACAGACAGCACACAUGCAUCUUACUUAUUUCCUUGUUCUCACCCGAGUGAAAGAGUGACUCCAUCUCAUAUUUUAGUUGGUUCUUUUUUCUCAUUUGCCUUUAUGGAUAAGGGAGUUCUCAACCUCGAAAACCAUAAGUACCUCCAUGGAAGAAUACAAAUUUGUCUUACCUUAUCUCAAAUUUUGGAUUGAUGUCAUUGUCUGAUGAAUGCUCUCGUUACUGCUUUGGAAAAAUUUUCCCUUUAACCUAGACAAUGCAUUGAUUGUGAUUGCUCUCUGGUCCUGAAAAGUGAAUACUUAGCCAGCUCGCUUGUUUUGGUUGACUGCGACCAUAUAUUGGCCAGAUGCUCUUUUCCAUCAAUCAAGUCUUUUUACCACUCUUUGAAUGUUUUGGAUCGAUGCCGAGUACCAUCAAUAAGCAGCAUCCUAGAUUUGUCUUUCUUCAAUAAAUGCAUUUUGGCUGUGGGAUAUCAACUUUUCUAAUGCAUCCUUAAAUCUUUCUUUUAACACUUCAAAAAUGCUUUUAUGAACAAUUCCCAUAGGGCUAGUAUUAAAAAAAAAAAAAAAAAGUCUUCAACUGCCUCUCCAUUUUAGGAAUGAGACAAAUAAAUGCAGUAGUCAAAAUUUUCUUAAAAUGACAUCUAUCAUAGGAUCCCUCAAACACUUUUAUGAUGUCUUCUUUGAUCAUGUUCCAACUCAUGGGAAAAGCAAUGAUUAUACUUUUCUUUUAAUCAGACACAUACAUUUUAAAGCCAAGAAUCAUUAGGUAUUCUCCACACUGAACAUUCAUACCCAUUAAAUACUUUCAAAAUGUUUUUUUCCUUUUUUCUUUUUCUUUUUGAGGCAAAAGUGAGGUAUAACGGUAUAAAAAAUGUCUAACAUAAAGUGAUUGUUAUGAAACAUGAAAAUGUCCUUCAAAGUUACCACUAUUUCAUCAAAAUAUUGUGUGUUGGUGGACCCCAACAUGAAACAUGAAUCAGAAAUAUCAAAUCACUUACUUUUUUUUCCCAUUUUUUCAGGUUUUAUCAGAUAUUUUUUGUUUCUUUUCUAGUUUGAUUGGGAUUUUCAGCAAUUAUUCCUUCUCAAUCCUACCUCUUUAGAAUAUAUAUGAAUAUAAUCAUAUACAUGCCUCAUUUGGCUUUACUUAAAUUAAUUUAAAUUAUUUUAUUUUUCAAAUUUCAUUCAACAAAUUAUUUAAAAUCUGGAAAAAAAAAAUCAUAAUAAGACCAUUGAUGAGUUUUUCUUUAUAUAUUUUAUAGAAUUGUUAAAUACAAAAGAAAUGUGAACAUGUAAAUAAAAUUAUUAACAUUUUUUUAGACAUAAACAUAUCAUCAUUAUAUAUAUAUUUUCUUCAACAAAACAAUUUUAAUAUAUGUAUUAUUGUUCGUUUUAUCAUUUAUUAGAGCAUUUCCUAACAUUUAUACAAGGUUUUAUCAACUUCAUUCCACUUAUAUAUUUUAUCCAAAUUUUCAUCCAAUAUUCCAUAAAAUCCAAUUGUCAAUAUUUCCAUAAUUUUUUAUAUUUUAAUCAUUGGUUGUCAUUCCAGUAUACAAUAAUUAUACAAAGAGCCCUAGCAAAUUUAAUGUUUUUGUCACCUUCUUCAUUACAAAAUAUUGGACUUUUGGCACCAACUAGUUUCCUUAUCUUGCCAAAAUGGAAAAUUGCACAUCGACGUCCAACCUCCUCACAAAGGAUAAGCUCCCAAUGUCCCAAUCCCCUUAGCCUUAGAGACUACAACGUUCCAAAUAAUUCCUUGUCACACCUCUUGAACUUCCUACUUUAGAGUCUUAAGCUUCUCAUUAAACAUGAAGUCAAGUGCACUAUAGGGAGUCGCAUUUAUAACUCUAAUAGAACCACUUUUUUUUAGCCAAGCCAAUAUUGUCAAGAUAAAAGUGAACAUGUGUGAUAUCCCACAUUGAAUAAGGAAAAUAGUUUUUAGUACUAUAUAUGUAUGGACUUCUCCUAACUAUAUAUGUAUUGUUAGUUUUGAAAUUCCUGUCCUGUCCCUUCUUCUCUUCCCAUUCUCAACUUCUCCUUGUUGGAUUACAGAUAUAUAUGGACUGUUUCCUGAAGGCCAGAUUCCAGCACUCAUAGAUUACUUGGGAAUUGUUGUUGAGGUAUUCGCUUUUUCCUAUGUUGCUUCUUAUUUGUUCUCUGUAUGUGUGUCUCUGUCUCUGUCUUUCUCUUUCUUGGUCGAACAUCAAGUACAUCUACGGGAAAACAAUAAUUAUUGUGAUGUUUCUGCAAUCAUCUUUUCUUUAUUAUAUUAUCAUCUGUUAUGUACAUGCUAUGUUCCCUAAGACACUGACUUCACUUUCCGAGAACAUGUAAUCAUCACUCUGUAUGUGGCAUUGUUGUUAAGAAUAUAUUUAUGUUGGAGAUUUUUUUUACUAAUUGGCAUACGAUAACAAUUAUGAUUUUGUUUCUACUCCACACUCUUUCCAUGUUUUAUUAGGGACAUCAUGUAUUUGUAGCAACUGGAUGUUCACACAUAUCAACAGACGAAUACCUAUAUUACAUUGAGACUGACAUGAGAGACAAUGGCUAUGAUAAUUUUCAUAGUAUCCUUAUUCCAUAGUACUUACAAUCAUAUGUUUCCCAUCGAAAGAAAAUUGUGUUUUGAUGUGCCCAUACCAACACAACAAUAUGAACCUACUUCUCUUUUUCCAAUUAGCAGGACAGCGAACUUGGUAUCGUUUAUUUAGAUUAAUUGACAUCAAGAAAAAAUCAACCUAAAUUCUUGGCUGACUGCUACCAUAAACUGAUUCCUAGUUUGUAUAAAAAAUAACCCAGAUUUUAGCAGUUUUUCUGGCAUAACAAUCUGUCCACAUUUACACCGUUAUUUGAGUAUUUAUGACAUAUCCCACAUUGACUAACGCUUGAUUUUUAACACCACUCAGCGAAUUUGGUUGAGUUGUUGGAUAGCUUAGUGAUAAUUAACAUACAUUUUCCAGCCUAGGCAAGUCUACCAUGAAAUCUACAGAAAGGUUACACCCAUCAAAAAUAGUGGAAAUGAAUCCUAUUCCAUAUUCCAUGAAUAUAAAAGGAAAAUACGACUCUUCAAAGGGAUUUAUGCACUACCCUAAUUUAAAUAUCACAUGGCCCGAGGAUGCGCCCUUUAUGACAUUUCUCACGAUUCCCUCUUCUCCUCUUUCCAACAUCAUUAUAUUCAUACAUAAUCCCUAUUUACUUUUGUUGUCUUUUUGUUUGUAACAAGCUUCUAUUUAAUUAAGGAAAUGGAAGAGGACAUGUUCUGCUACAUUCAUGAAGGUGGUCAGCUAAUUAAAUGUGCUGGAGGGUCUGUAGAAUAUCAGGGAGGUCGUACUAAAUCCAUGGUUGUUAGCCGACAUAUGUCACAUAGUGAUUUCGUUUCAAAACUAUGUGAUAACCCGACUCAUGGUAGCUUGGCAUGUAAGGGUAUCAACAAAAUUUAUACCUAAGGUCCUUACACUAAAGUAGCAAAGCUACUAUAGCAUAGUGGCUCUAGGAUCGAACACUGGGAAGGGUUUUUACUUUAACUGGUGAAGUUCGGAGGAUGGAGUGAACUUUUCUUAAUAAAAAUUAGGUUAAGAUGAAAACAUAAAAAGAUGAAGGUGUUGUAAACUAAACUAACAUGAAAAUAGGUUAAAAGAUGGAAAAAGAAGUUUCUCAAAGCUUUGGAUAGCCAUGCUUAACUCACUGUGUAAAAAUGGAGAUUUUGGAACUUUUCACCUCGAGUUGGGGAAGCAACUAAGGUGAUGCUUACUUCCCGAACCGGUAUGUGUUUAACAACUGAGUUUUAGUCCUUCAAAACUUACAAAAAGGGUAGCUGAACCUCAUAAAUGCUCUUUUAAUGAUAUAGGUCAUCUCCUCGACUUGCAAUACAAUGGCUCGUAGGAGAUAACUAAUGAAUGUCAGUGGAUCUAACAAUAAGAAUCCACUGAGACUAAAAGGUUAUCAAGUAUUGGCCAUUCAAAGCAAGUCAGAGGGAUUAAAAGCUUUACUUUGAAUGAAAACAUUUAUGAUGCUCAGCUACUUACAUUCAUGGCUUGGAAAUCUCCAUCCUGACACGGGAGCUUCACAUAGCAUCCAUUACUUCAAGAAACUAAAAGGUUUUAGCCUCUCAUCCUUGGGGAUUUCAUCCUCCAAGGAUGUUUGGCUACUAAGAAAAUAGAAAAUAGUAGAGAGAAAAAGAAAGCAAAAGAUACUCUAUAUUUCACUAAGUGUAAAAUUUACAUAAGUUGGUCCCCUGGAGAAAGUUCCCCGACCGUCCAAAAAAUGAAAAUUACAAAACAAUAUAUAACAGGUUGUUUACCCCUGUAUCCUUGCUUAACAACUAAGGAAUCAUCUAAUUGGUGGAUUACAAGGAGAGAAUUGGGAUUUAGACAACAAAUAUCUGAGGCAAAAUAACAAAAAACGUUGGUCGCAAAUAUCUGGAAGCACUCAGGAGAAUUUCGCAGGCGCACAAAAUGGCUGCGAAAUCAUUUCGCAGCCGAAGACUGAUUUCGCAGCCAAAGGCUGAUUUCGCAGCCCUGCGAAAUUGGCCUUCAGCUUGGAGUGAUCUGCUUCCAUUGGCUCUAACUUCUUCAUUUCAACUCUGAUUUGUGAACCGUUUGAAGCAUUGGAUUGUUGACUUCCCGAUCUUCGAAAUGACAUAAAGUAUGCAUAAAUUAGACUUUAGGAAGUACUCCAAAAGUGGCUGAAAUGACUGUCAUCAAGAAUGCUUCAAGGUAGAUUCUCUCUUUACUUCUCCUCCUUGCAUUCCGGAUUGGUUAUGGCAAAGGACUUUAAGGCUUCAAAGCUCUGAUUCUUCAUGUUUCUGAGCUUUCCAUUGCUUUGCCAUGGAUUCCAAAUAACUCUCCUCCAUCUUGGAUUGCUUUGGUGAUCAAAUUACUAACAAAAACACCAAAACUUACACAAAGUGAUUAGAAGUGAUUGCAAAGGUCCUUAAUAUGUUAAUUGGGUUAAAAGGCAAUAAAUACUACUCAAAAGUGUUUAAAAGAGUUAAUUACAAGCUAUCAAAUAGCCCUUUUUGAGUAGUAAUCACUAUGUGAUGAACUGCACUUUGACCGGAAUUCUAUCAAAUUGGAAUUCACGGUGAAGUUUGACCCAUCAUGUCUACUACCUUUGCAUGAUGACGCAGCCCUACUUAAGAUGUUUCAAUUCAAUGAAAUGUUUUGUCGUGUCUAUGUCUCAUCAUCAAGUGAAGUUGUUGAAGGUUGUAUAGCACCGAAUAGGUACUUAAAGCCUUACAAACAUCACAUUCACUAUGUCUAGUAACUUUUCUUCAAAUAUAUGUAGAUGGAUUUUUUUUUCUUUAUUUGUAGUGCCCCUACUCCUAUUGUUGGUUCGAAUUCGACACACCUACUUUCCUUCGGUGGUGAUCCGCCAAUUGAUAUCUGUAAUGACUCUCUUACAAUUGAGUCAUAUGAGUUUUCCCAAAGAUGUGCAGAAUCAAAUAUACUCGAGCAUGACUCGAGGCUUUUUGAAAAUUCCAUUAUGGGUAGUGGACAUACCUUCCCCAAUGCUUCUAAGUUCCGUGAUGCCAUUUAUUUGAUGUCAAUUGUUGGUAGAUUCCGUUAUUGCUUCAAGAGGAAUAGUAUGAAACACAUGACAGUUAUUUGCACAGUUAGUGGAUGUCCUUGGUCAUAGCUCGUGCUGUUGGGGAAUCGAACAUCGUUCAGGUUCACACUUUUCAUAACCGCCAUAAUCAUAGUUUGGAAUAUGUUGCUGCAUGCCAACCUUUAGUGAGAUCCAACCAUGCUUCCUUGCUUAUCGAUGAUGUCAUACGGUCCACUCCCGAUUACCAACCCUGUCAAAUAUGUAAGGACUUUCAAAGGCAACAUGGGAUGCAAUUGACGUAUGUUCAAGCAUGGAAUAUCAAGGAGAAGGCAAAUGAGUGCAUUUAUGGAGAACCCAAAUAUUAUUACAAAUUGUUGCCUUGGAUGUGUGAGAAAAUGGUUGCAACAAAUCCGGGAAGCAUUAUUGAGUUGAGUCAUUCAAGUGAUGGGCAUUUUGAGCAACUCAUUGUUUCUCAUUCAGUAUCUAUCCAAGGGUUUGCAUUGGGGUUUCGGCCAAUCAUUGCUAUUGACUCUGCCCAUAUGAGUGGGCCAUAUAGGGGUGCGUUAUUUUCAGCCACCACAUACGAUGCUAAUGACUCCAUGUUCCCCUUAGCCUUUGGCAUCAUGAGCUCAGAAAAUUAUGACGAUUGGUCUUGAUUUUUGCAAAAUUUGAAGAAGGUUGUUGGAGAUAAGGAAGUCGUUAUUAUCUCGGAUAGACAUCCUGCUCUCCUUCGUAGUGUUCCUGAAGUGUUUGGGCUUGAAAACCACGCCUACUGUUACCGUCACUUGAAGGAAAAUUUCCUCUCUUUUUUGAGCAAACAUAACACAAGAGGGAACAAAGAUAAAGAAAAUGCACUCCAAUUCCUUGAUAGUAUUGCCUAUGCAAGGUUAGAGCACGAUUACAAUAUUUCCAUGUUUGAACUACGGAAAUACAAUGACACUUUGGCCAAAUGGGUUAAAGAAAAUGCACCCGAACAUUGGGCUAUGUCAAAAUUUCCAAAACAAAGAUGGGAUAAAAUAACCACAAACCUUGCCGAGUCGUUUAAUGCUUGGUUAAGGAAUGAAAGACAUCACUCGAUUUGUAACUUUCUAAUGGAGCAUAUGGCUAAGUUAGGUUCUAUGCUUGUCAAACAUAAAGAUGAAUCAAAUAAUUGGUAUAGGGCUAAAAAUUGAAGACAAGGUGCAGUAGAAAAUUGCCAAGGGUGAGGUCUAUCCGGUCACUCCUUUCAUGAAUGGAAUAUUUGGGGUUUCUAUUGGAAGCACCUUAUUGAAUGUCGACAUUAUGAAGCGUACUUGCAUAUGUAGGGGUUGGGAAAUGUUGGGAAUCCCUUGUGAACGUGCGACGACUGUUAUUCUUUCCAUCGGUCAGAAUGUUGUUGAUUUUGUUCAAGAUUGGUACAAAUUCCCAAUGCAAGAGUUGAUUUACUCGGGCUCCUUCUCCGGUAUAGAGACCCAUGACAUGCCAAGCGUCGAUAAUGAUGGUUUGGUUCGAUCUAUCACCGGUGAAGUUUUCCUCUCUCUUGACCCUCCCCAUACCAAACGCCCUCCCGGAAGACCAAGGAAGAAGCGCAUUGAGUCCCAAUUUCAAGAUAAACGGACUGUCUAUUGCUCAAGAUGUCAUACUUCCGGGCACAACAGGAAAACGUGCAAAAAUCCUUUGUCUUAAGUGCAAUGCUGUCACAUUCUUCCCUUGUUGAAACUAUGUUCCAUUGUAUAUCCAUUACAUGUUUUGAAUACUCUUUCUAAAGGUUGUUGCCAACCAAGUUCACAUUUGUAACACUGAUCAUUGGUGUGUUGUAAUGGGUAAUAUUACGUGGAAAUUGUUUUCAUAAUUCCUUUUCUUAAUUUCUUAGUAGGGAAAUUUUUGACAAAACCAUUAAGUCGACCACUUUAAAAUUCUAAUUUAAGUUAUAUGGUAAAUAUGAUGCUCCCAUCUAUUAAUAACUGUGUCGUACAAUAUUUGACUAUAGCUGUACUCAACAAAGCUUCUACAGAUUGUAAAACAAAAUCCAUCAUUUAUAAACAUAGGGACACCAAACCUACAUAUUGGAAAACUUUCAUUCAAAUGACAUAUGUUGCUACUAUCCCAAUAUAUGGCUAGAUAUCAAUAUGCUUCUGCUCAUUCUGAUCAGCCUCUUCCCCUACACCUUUGGUGUUUCCUAGCUAGAUUGUUCAUUUUUAUUGUCUAGUCAUGCUGCAUCAACUAUGACCUUGUGUUGGCUAGUAUGUUUCCUAACCUCAAUAUGAUUCUAUUGUUUUUUCAGUUUUAUUGAGGAAAUUGCUGGUGUAAAUUAGCAAGUUCUUUUUUCAGAAAAGUGUGGACAACAAAAGAAAUGGGAGGAAAAGACUCUCUAUUCUACAAUCUUGUUUGUUUUUUAUUUCACAAAAAAUUAGUGUGAAGAUUCAAAUUGAGUGUCUAAAUUAAUUGAUAUGGGAUCUGGGAAUUGUUUUAUUUGUUUGUUUUUCUUGUUGUUUGCUCUCAGUGGAAAAGAAAAGAAAAGAUGCUUACGAUUAUCAUAUAUUCCCUUAAGUUUUAUUUUGUUGUUUUCUUUAAAGAAAACCGAAUGUUUCAAUUCCAGUAGGCUAAAUUGGAUGCUUAUGCUUUUGUUCUUUUGCCCACUGUUUCUUUGCUGAGAUAUCCAAAGAAAUGAACAACCAAACAAAAUUUGGAAUUUUCUGAUUUGGCGUGUUUGGAUUUUUUUUGGUUUAUUUAUUUAAUUUGAGGUUUUUGAUUUCGCAGAAUAUGAAAAGCUCAGCUCGAGUAAGUGAAACAAUGGAGGGAAAGUAUUUGAUUUUUGAAGUUCCAAACAGUGCAAAACUAUUUAAUAUUUGGUAUUUUUUCUAUGCAAACAAAUGAAAGCGUGGAACCUUGAAAUGUGUGGUCUCAAAUUAUUCUUAAUUAAUUGGUAAAUUAGUUUCAAAAAUGCUAUUUUUAUUGCCUUUUAGGUAGAUUUGAAUCUCUCUAUGUACUUUCCUUUUUCCCAACUUGGUACUAACUGUGUGUUCAUAUUGCUCUUCAUAUCAGUUUUCAAAGUAAGCCUGAUAUAGGUAUUUCAUUCUUCUGAUUGCAUUUUUGUUCUUUUUAACAAUAAGAUUGCUUGUUGAUCAUAUCCAUUUUCCAGACAGAUAAUUGGAUUUCAGUUUUUAUAAACAUAGGACAAAAGUGUUUGCUUAAUGAUUCCAUUAUUUGAGGUUUUGAUAGCCCAAGUGCCUGUCUUUGCUUUAUUUCAUCAAUCUUUUCAUUACACGUUCUCUCAUUUUGAUGUUUCUGCAAUGUUUCUGACUCAGAAUUUUCAGUAUAUUAAGGAUGAGCAGCAAUGUGAAUGUGCUUUCAGAUGUUUUCUGCAAUGUACCAUAAUGAAACUUAAUUGAUUUUCCUCAGUUUUCUAAUGAUCUAUCAUGGCAACUGCUACAGUUUUAAUGUCAUUCUUUUGCAUUACUGAAUUUCCAAUAUUCUUUCUAGAUAUGACAUGCCUUUCUCUCCAAAGGUUUUGCAUAUCUAUAGUGCAAACUUGUUAUUGCAAACCCAUCAAAGGCCAAUCCUGAGAAUAUCCAUCUUCACUGUCAUGAGAUGGUUUCAAAUGCUUUUGAAAACCAUGUAUAUUGAGUAAAAUUUUAUGUCUUUCCAACCUAGAUAUGUGUGUAUAACCUAGUAUAAUUUUUGUUAUAUUAUAGGCAUUGAUAUAUAUAUAUAUUUUCCAUAAGGUUCUGCAUUUCUCUAAUUUUUACAACUUUGAAUUUGAACUUAGUGUGUAGCUGAUAAACUAGAUGAGAUCUGAGAUCUUUUUGCGUAUUAUUAGUGUUCAGAAAUGUACCUCAGCUGACAUGCCAUUCUGCAAUUGUAGUCCUUUUUUGUUCUACCUAGUGGCUUGCUUCUGUAUAAUUUUUUUUUAUUUUAUAUUAUAGGCAUUGAUAUCUUGUUUUUUGAGAAGGUUCUGCAGUUCUCUGAUUUUUACAGUUUUUGAAUUUGAACUUAGUGCCUAAGCUGGUAAACUAGAUGGGAUCUUUUUGUGUAUUAUUAGUGUUCACAAAUGUACCUCAGCUGACAUGCCAUUCUGCAAUUAUAGUCUUUUUGUUUUCUACCCAGUCAUCUGCUUCUCUUGAACUUAUUAUGGUAUUUUUGCUCUUAGUCUUGUUCCUGAUCUUUGUUUCUCUCCAUGCUAUGCAUGGUAAUGUAUUUACCAUUGACAUAAAUCAUCUAGUUACUCAAUACUUUCUUUUAUUGAACUUUAAGUUUGUUAUCUAACUAACUUCGAUAUUUUUCCUUUGCAGAGUAGCAUAUGUUAUGGAUAUCCAUUUUGAAGCCAUCAUGUUAGGCAUUACUUAUUUUGAUCAUUAAUAUCAGAAGUAGUUCUGCCUCUUCUGUCAGUAAGUGUACGUUAUUGUUCGCAGUACCAUUAGAAGAUCCUUUUAUUUUUUGGUAUCAUCAUUUUUUAACAUGCAAGAUGUUCUUUGCCCAACAAUUUGUGACCAUUCAUUUUUGUGUACUGCACUAGUCAGUUUUGUAAGAUUUUAUUUUCAUUGUACAAUUAUUGCUCAUAAGCAUAGCACCAAACAUCUUGUAUGAUAAAUGUGUUCAUUUGUUGACUAGUAAUCCUUUUCUGCAAUCUUAUCCAUUUAUCUUUCAAUCUUGUUUCUAAAUUUCUACCCUUAUUUUCCUUCAUAUUUUUCAUGAAACAUACAAUAUCAUUAGCUUGGAUUUCAUUUUCCAUUUCUCUCUCAUUUUCUUUUUCAUGCUUUUAGGUUGUUAUCUAACCUAAAAGUUUUGCUUCUUCCAGAGUAUCAUAUGAUAUGAUAUCCAUUUCAAACACGUUGCUUUAAAAGUUUCAGUAUUUGAAUAUCAAUAUAAGAUUUAAAUCUGCCACUUUUAUCAAUAAAUGUAUGUUAAAACUUUCCUUUAAAUCGAAUUGAUGUUUUGAUUUCCUGGUACUGCCUUUCUUUUACCUGGCUUUUAUUCCUUGCAUGUCGCUAACUAUUUUUCAUUCACCUAAUUUUUCCUUGGUGCUACAGCCUUCCCUACAAAUAGGGUUUUUUUUGCUCCCCCCUUACAGAACAUGAUUGAUCUAAUAGCCCCAAACGCAACACACACACAUGCAUUCACACCCUUCCAUUUAUUAAUUGUGCAAAUACAACAGCUGUUAGUGCAUUGGUUUCCCCACCUCCUACUGUACACCGGUGUUGAAAAUACGGGAAAAAAACAACCAGUCCAUUUCAGAAACAGAUGGACAGCAGACAAAGGAAGUGGAGAAGCCAUGUUCCAACAAGAUCUGGACCGGUAAAAUAUUCUAAACUCCUUUAACGUACUUAUACAUCUAUUGCCCUUUAGCCUAAAAUCAUAAAUUGUGAGAUAUUUUUAAUAUAUUUUCCUUAUUUCAUGUUAUAGGCUAAGUUACCGAAAUCCCGCUGCUGGGGGAAAAAUUCCUAUCAAUCAUAGAUACACUUCCUCUGGAGAAGAAAAAUGUCAUCAGCGGUAUGGGAUUUGGAGGAUUGUUGCAGCUUACCUGCAAAGAGUUGCGGUAUGACCUAAUAACGUGGAUAGUCGCCAAUUAUGACAUUGGCUACCACCGCGUUUGUAUGCAAACUAAUGUUGCUGUCCCAAUCACACCCCAAGAUGUUAGAGAGGUCCUUGGUAUCCCGGACCAGGGCAUUGACAUUCUCUUUUACAAUAGGCACAGCACACCCAACUGCACUUAUGACAUUAAAAUAUUGGAAGAUAGAUUACGUGAUCUACUGGUUGGCGAAGAAUUCAUGAAGUCUUUCCUCAUUUUCGCCUGUGCCACUAUCCUUGCCCCUAACUCAAAACAAGAAGGCAUGCAUGACUUGUGGGACACGAUUUGGGAUAGUGAUGUGGGUGUCCGCAAAAAUUGGGCCAAGUUUGUUCUCCAAUAUCUGGAGGAUGGGAUAAGGGACUAUCGGAAUAGUCAUUCGACAUACAUUAGAGGUUGUGUGUUGUUUCUUCAGGUAUUGUGUUCUCACUCUCUCCACAUUACUGACAUAUGUCUGUCAAAUUAAUUUCUUAUGUUGUUGAUAUUCUAAUAGCUUUUCUAACCGACUUAUAUUUGCUUCCCACUGCACAACUUUUCUAUAUGACGAAGUUCUACAUCACUUCUUUUAAAGUUGAAGUGCGCAGUUCACUAUGUGCUGCAUGGACCGAUAAGCAAAUCAAGGGUCGCUUGGCAGCCAAAAUACACACUUAUGGCAAUUAUGGUCAUGUCCAGGUAUGGUCCAAUUUAGCUAAUUCAUAAAUGUAGAUUCGUGUGAUCAUUAAUUUUGUUUUUUAUCUAUGGGUAGGUUAUAGAGCGAAGCAACUCAGAUGUACAUAAUGAUGCAUGGCCAUGCGAGGUAGGAAGCUCACAUUCUGAUGACCCAACCGAGGUACGCCAUCACACUACGACUUUAUUACUUCACAAACAAACUUGAUCACUAUCCUCCUUAUAGAUGACCAUGGUAAUUGAGACUCCUUGUUGCUAUCAAUAGACAAUUCAAGCACGGUUGAUUUGCAAUUCAGAGCAUCUCAUGAGCCUCGCUUCAUCUAUGGUAUAAGACAUUGCCACACUACGGGCAAGGUCUAGUGGAGGACAAAGUGGCUGUGCACUAACCCCACCAGAUGAAGCAGUGAAUGCGUAAAAAAACAAAGAAGAGGGUAGCACCGAUGUGCAUCCAUUUAGUGAUCAAAUAAUGGGAAAAGCAACCGGUUCAGCAACCACACAUUCUGGCCAGCAAAGGGCCACCAAUGCAGCAGUAGAUGAUGGCCUAUUUACUGAACAAGAGCCAUGCCCACCUUCAACAAAGGGUGCUGAAUUUCAUUCACCUAAAGGGGUGCAAAUGGGUGUUGAAGAAGGGUAUGGCAGCAAACCGGUUACAUCUAUCCCUAGGCGGAGAUUUAAACACAUAGCGAAAAGGCUUGUGAAGCCAACCGCCAUUUGCAAAUCCCCAUUCGUCUCUCAAUGUGUUAGCCAAUUUCCUAAAAUCAGCCAUGAAGAAAGGGUGGUUGCUGAUUAUGCAUUGUCGGAAGCCGGUGACCCAAGGUACGUCACAUGAAUUAACCAUCUAAUGUUAAUGCGAGCAUUAUUGUUAAAGUUUAUGGCUAUUGACUUAACACAUUUUUUACAUUGCAGUGAGAUCUUGUGCCAUAUGCAUGGCACAUACAUCACAUGGGAUGAGCUUUCUUCGCUCAAUGGAGGCCGUUGGGUGAAUAGUGUGGUAUGUGUCAAAUGUUCUGUCUAGCCCCAUAGUGGUUAAAUAUGAAUCACAUUUUUUUUUUCCUAAUUAACAUGUGUACAAUUUCAGAUUGUAGGAGUGGUGUGCCGAAUGCUGAAUGUAGCACAAGAAAUACCAUCGUGGGCACACUAUUUCGACCCAUCCUUCUCCGUGAGUCCUUAAUCAUAAUUGUUUAAUGCGUUUCUCUAUUAUUUUAAAUCGGAGACAAUGUGGUUAGUUGUAACAACAAAUUGAUAGGUGGUGCUGGCCAACCUGUCGACAAAGGCAAAAAGCAUGAAAUAAGGGACCGGUGUCGGAUGUUCCUAGAUGCUGAAUAUGUGGGUCAUGAUUUCUCAAGUUGCGAGCUGGUACUUCAAACCUAGUACAAUGGAUUCACAGCCAAAUCCUCUUUUUCAUUUAUUUACCAAAUUAUUUUGCCCUACUGACCUAUUAAUGGAAAUGUAAACAAUCCCCUUGUAGCUUUUCUUUCUCGUCUGCGACAACAACCACUGGCACGUGCACGUGUUGAAUAUUCCAUCCUCGAGAGUCAAAAUCUUAUCUUUGUUGCCUUUAAGAAGGGGUAAUGGGAUAAGUGCCAUAUCGAGACGAUUGUCUAAGACAAUUGGAAAAGCAUUCCAUGCUCAUGGCAUCCUACGGCGAUUGGAUGUCUCAAAAUUCGAGCAUGUGCAACCCCAAAUUGUGUAACAAAAAAAUGGGUAGAUCACUUUCGCCCUUAAAAUUUUAUGUAUCUUGAACUAUGUGGUAGUGAUGUAUUUAUCUUUUAUGCUUGAUGUAUGCAUAUGAUUGGUGUAAUGAUAUUGGUGGUGUAGAUUUGAUUGUGGCAUGUUUGCAAUAAAGUACAUGCAACAUUGGAAUGGGGCCACGAUAGCACAUUCAAUCGCGGAGGUAAGCACAACCAAAACUAUUCAACUUGGUUCUUUUGCAGUCUUUACAUUUAAUGCCCAUGAUUCUGAUUUCUGUUGUGCAGGACAAGAUGCAUUUAUAUCGAUUGAGGCUGGUCGUUAUGUUGGUUACGAAUGCUGCAAACAAUGCUAGAGAUAAGGUCAUGAAGGCAUGUCGAGUGUGACAUAUGAGGGUAGUCCCACUUCAAUUACUUGCAAUUUAGUAAAUACUACAUGUCACCUAUAAAAGACAAUGUCACUUUCUAUUAAAAGUUUUUAUUCUCAUGAUUAGUGUCAUUAUUAUUAAUAUUUUUUUUUUUUUUUUGUUAAUUGCAGCCGACAUUCGGAAAACAUAAUUCCUCACAACCAUGAAGCCACCAUGAGAAAGAGGGGAGAAAUUUGACAAUGCGGAAUCGUGGAUGCUGGAGAAAGGGAUGUGAUCAUAAGACAUUCUCAUCAUCAAUCAAACUUUAUAAUAUAACUGUUCAUAUUUUGUUUUUUUUUUUGUAAAUUUAGGCAUGCCCAAUACCAGAGCUCUUUAAAAACUCUAUACAUACAUCAAAAUGGUUUUUUUGGUUGACCAUUUUUACUUUGGGCACCUAUUGCAUACUUUUGAUACACAUACAUCAAAAUGCUUUUAGAUUAAUUUAUCCGUUUCUACGAAACAUACAUUGGUAUAUGAAAUUUUGGUUGACCUAAAAAGGUUACUCCAUCACCUCUUUGCAGGUGUGUAGUUCUAUGAGAUCCAUGCAAUAUGAGAAACUAUUGCCUAUGUUGAAGAACUUGCUUUCUAUUCUGCAUACUAUUUGGCCUAGGUAAAUCUCUCCCUUUUAUUUAUAAAAAAAAAAUGAAUUGUCGUUCUCUCCCUUUUAUUUAUAAAAAAAAAAAUGAAUUGUCGUUCUCUCCCUUUUAUUUCAUCUGUACUUACUGGUUCGGGGAUUUUUAUUAUUCAAUACUCUUCUUCCAUUGUUCUCUUUGGUUUGUUCUCUACACAGGAAAUUGAUUUGAAUGUGUAAUUAGUGAUUUAUUUGGGAAGAAUAUUCUAACUAGUACUUUGGUCGACCACCUAGUGGCUAGGUUCUUUAUGGGGAAACCAAAAUGUUGCCAACACUCAAAAAAGGAAUUUGACAAUUCUAGAGCAAAAACUCUCCCUUUGUCUUUCUUUCUUUUUCCUUUUUACAAUUAUGAAGUACUGCACAAAGCCACAACUGUGCAUGCUUAGUGUUUCCAUUGAUAUUGAAGGUUUAGUUCAAUUUUGAUAGAAUUUUAAAAGAUAAAAACCUGCUUGCCUUUAGAUAGGUUUACUGGAACUUAAUUGUGUUUUGCUGCUCAUACAAACAUUUUCCAUUUCUGUGUAUGAUUCAGCUGCAUCAUUGUUUUUAAUCUGGACAUAGUUCUUCAUCAUCAUGUGUUAACAUUUUUACCAAUCUUCAGGAACAAGGAAGAGGGAUAUUUCCUUGCUUCUGAGCUUCUGAAGAAGAUAUGUUCAAAUCAGAAAGGUGUUGAAGCUUUAAGAAACUUGCCUACUCUUUUGAAGAGGCUACACAACCUAACUGAGGAUCUUAGUAGGAAGGCAAACAAUGAGAAGAUGUUUGGCUUUGGCCAUACUACAGUUUUCUUCCAUUAUACUAGCUGUACGGGCAGUAAUUUAACUUCUUGCAGAUGUUAAAACUUUCUGAUGUUCAUUCUUGUUAGACGAUCACUUACACUAAAUUGAUGGUGGAUAUAUUAUUAGGAAAUUCUCCCAAUUGGAGCAACUAGAUUCGAGGAGGCACUGCAAAUGGGCUCUGAGACCUAUCAUCACUUAAAGGUUAGUUUGUUCAAACGAGUUGUUUUGUUUUAAUGUACAAGUUUCUUAUCUCUAUUGUGUGACAAGUUUUGCAACAAUUUCAGUUGGCUAUCCAAAAAAAGGAAAAAAAAAAUUGAUACAACAAUUUGUGAAUUUAAAUUUUACUGUUUUAAGGAGUAAUGAACCUCUAUGGAAAAUACAUCUCUAUGAUACACUAAAGAGUUUCUUUGCCUAUUAAAAAUUAUAAAACUCAAGAGUUUCUUUUUCUUUUCUUUACUUUUGUUUCCAUGGUUUAGUAAUUCUGUUCCAAAUCCAAAUUGUGUGUAUAAAAAACUUGUCUUCAAGAUUGAAUAAUAUUAAUGCUCAUGACAUAAUAUCACUUUGUGUAACUUUAACUUUGAUAAUUCUGAAAGUAUUCUGGGUUUUCAGUGUUUCUGUGUCUAAAUGCUACAUACACUUGAAGGAUUGAAAUUUUAAUGAAGUACGAUGUAGUGUGGGAACUUUAAAUUUGGAAAUUUGUGUUAUGAUUACAUGCUAUUGUAGCUUGAAGCUCCUCCUAGGAGUUCAUACUUUCUAGGAAGGUAAAAUGGCUAUGUAUCUGUUGCUCCCUAGCCAUGCUUCUACUCAUUUAUUGCUUGUAAUUUCUGUUAACAAAAAGAGAAGGCUGUUAUUACAGAAAAAUAUGGUGCCCAUGGGUGUGAUGUUGGUGAGGAUGGUGGGCUUGCUCCAAACAUUUCCAGGCAAGUUUUUUUUCUUCUUCACCGGAUUUUGCUCAUGUGCACAUUUUAGUAACAAACCCACCAUAGUGUUUGAGGAUAUAUAUUUUAGAUAGAAGUUGUAUUCUGCAUAACUCAUAAAUCCAUUAUUAUAUGUUAGUUAAAUAUGGUUGAGCUCUGGCUGCAUUUCUACCCAGCCCUGUGGAAACAUGAUAAAAUUUCUGUAAGAGUGGUUGGUAUUAAUAUGAUUUAUUUGAAGCUUAAUGUUUUCUAAGUUCUUUCUCCUUUUUUGUUUAUGUUAAACAAGCUUGUUUGAAUGUUGACCAUCCUUGAUAAAUAGCUGUGGCAUAUUGGUUCAUGUUUGUUAACCCUGAUGGUGCUUAUUUUAGUUGGUAUAUUCUAUUGGGAAAAACUAUCCUCAUUGUUAAUAAAGUUUCUUGUGUUUUUGAUUCACCAUAUGCAGUGUACAGACAGAGGACUUCAUUAUACCAACUUAUGAUUGUGUAUCUCCUUGCAUAGUUGAGUUGAAGAGAAUUCCAAAGUGUGCUCCUUUGGUUGUUGGUCAUCAUGGUUUUGGGGAAUUUAGUUUAUGGUAUGCUGCCUUCUCUGCUUGCAUAUUAGUUUCUUCCAUCCAUUGAAAGGCUACUGAUAUGGGAAUUAAUUGGCUAGCAUAAUUCAGGUUUAUUAAGAUACAUCAUUAGUAUUAUCUGGAUAAAAAGGUUCUAUCUCAUUUUCUGCACUGGUUUUGACUUAUUUGCACUUGAUACUUAAUAUCAAGUCUCGGCAAAAUACUUAAGAUUGUCCUUAGGAAAAUGCGUGAAUAAAGUUUUGAAAUGGUUUGAAUUGAAACAAAUAUCAAAUUAUCAUAAUUUCUUUUUGGUUUGGAAUUUUGAUUGCUAACUGAACUGUCUCUACAUUUUUUGAGUGGUAACCAGCUUCUUGUACUUCUUAGUUUCCCUGUCUUACCUUAAUGGAUCCAAUUAUUUCUGUUUCCUGCAUUUCAAAUUAGGCAUAGGUGUAGCCCAGUGUGCUUAAAUCACAUGGUGAGCAGUGAUAUUUGUUUUUUUUUCCUUCAUGUGCAAUUGAAAAUUUUUUGAAUUUCCAAUCCGCUACCAAGUUAUAGGACUCUAAUUGAUAUCUGUCAAUUCAUUGAAAUUGAAAAGUUAAGGAACUCUGUUGUCUAGAUCAAUUUCUUAAUGUUAUAACUUCUAUUAUCAUAUUCAUAUCAUCUGCAGAUUCUUCUGUAUUAUAAAUUAUAAAGAUCAGGCUUCUAUGUCUUAAUUUUGUUUCUAGUGGAAACUGAAACGUAUUACUAGGUCAUGAAAAAUCAUCAAGAUACUCUUAAUUGUGUGAAGGAAAAUUCCUGUAAUGAUCAGUCAUUUAAAAAUGAUUUAACUUGAUCCAAAUGUGAACUUAUAAUAAGCUUGAUAAAAAGUCAGCCACUGUGACUAGUGAAUUGUUUUUUUUCCUCUUCUAAAGUGAGGAAGUCCUGGACCAUAAGCCUUGGAAACAAAGAUGGAACACACACAAACACGGAAUAACCAUCAACCAGCAGCAUUCAACUAUUCUAAGGGUCAACAAGUCCUUCUCAUGAUAAUUUUUUAUAAAAAAAAAUUUAGUCAAAAUAUGGCCUUUUACGUCUGGCACUCCAGGAUUUUAUUUUCUGUUCUUUGGUUAUAUUUUGCUAGUAUUUUUUGUUUCAUCCAAUUUGUUAUGUUGUGGUGCUUCAUUGUAAUUACUACCUCUACAAUUUCAGGAAUGUGGAAUCAGUUUGUAUCUUAUUACAACGUUUCCCCAGGUGAGUUUAAUGUGAUUGACUGUUUAGUUUUUAUUGCCACUUAUGGUUCUUAUAAAUUCCAUUUUUUUUAAAAGUUUUUUUGUACUUUCAUUAAAUUCUCUUAUUACAAAGUUUAUCAACAUUUAAGCUGCAUCAACCUGUCUUGUAAUUCUUGUUAUUCUUGUUAUUUGAUGAUGCACACCUGUUUUUACUUCUUUCAGGGACAUUUCCCAACGCAUCCUCAUAUCAAGGUUCACAAUGCCAAGCAUUUCAAUUUUUGAGUUCAUUCCAAUCAGCUUGUUUAGUUUCCAAAGUGAGGUUCCUCUUUCCAGCAAUCCUGAUGUGGAUUUGCACAUAAACAAAAUAAUGGCUGCAACAAAAAUGUGGUUCUCAAAGCACAAUGAAAAUUACACCUUUCUUCCAUUAGGGGGGGAAAGCAUUGUUGUGUGGCUUCUUGUUGCAACUCUUUCUGACUCUGACACUCAGCAUGACAAUCAAAUGAAUGAUUGCCAAACAAAUCCAGUUGGAUGGUGGAGACUAGCUCUCCUGGUGAAAAAUAUGGUCAUCCUGGGAAGUGCAUUAGAUCCAAGGUGCUUUAUAGUGUUUUAAAACAGUAUCUAAAUACAACAUAUACUGUAUCUCAUGUAAUGCUUCUGCUUUAUGUCUUUUUAAAGCAUUGGGAUGAAGGCUUCCCAGUUCUAAACAUUGAGGGGCACUUAAAUGUUCCAUAGAAAAGAAGUGGUUCCAUUGUGUUUUUGCAUGACCUUCUGAAUGUUUUAAUAGCAUUUGUAAUAAAAUUGUUUCAUGGCAUGCAUAGGAUGAUAUUUAAGAUUUCAGGAAUGAUGUGAGUCCAGGUCUUUGGAAACAUAAAUCAUUAUUGUGCCACUUUGGUCUUGUUAUGGAUUUCACCUUAAAGGUGGAUUUGAUCCAGAAAGCUAUGGUAACUGCAAAGUGAUGUUUUAAUUUCCAAGGAACAUUUAAGUGGCCCCCACUUAAUAGAUUAUUAUUCAUUACUUUAAAUCCUUUUAGUACAAGGAGAUGGGUUAAUAAGACCAAGUACUAGUGAAUGUUCUUUUCUGGGAAACUAGUAUGAGGAAUAUACUUCUGGAACAUUAAGCAUGAACCUAAAACGUAUCAUGCACUUGAAGCUCUGAUGGACAAUAACUAGUGUUGAAACUAUUAUUUCAACUGAAGCCUGGCCAGGAAUCGACAACUUAUUUUCUUAUUUUAAAAGACUGAUUGACUGAUGUAGUAAGUUUUUAAAUCAUCUCACUGUGUAGGGCAGCUGCUAUUGGUGCUUCAGCUGGUCAUGGGAUCAUUGGUACACAUGAUGGACUUGUGUACAUGUGGGAAUUGUCUACCGGUACUAAGCUUGGCAGUUUACACUAUUUCAAAGGUAUGUUACACCCUAUAACAAUUUGACUUUUCUCUGAUUUGCUCUUCCUUGGCAUGAAAUUGAUGAUGAUUUAAACUAAGAAGUACUGGUUUUGCAUAAUUAGUCAUGUACCUUCAUCUGUUUCAUUUUCAACUGGAAAAUAAUAUGCAUCUUCCUCCUUUCUAACCCUUGUAUUUUUUACUAAUUUAAUUUGUAGUUUUGUAUAUUGCACUACUAAAUAAUUCUUCAGGUUAUGUUAACUGUCAAGGUUAUUUGUAGGAUAAAGAACUGAACUAUCACUGAACAACAUCCCAGGGCACCACCAUAUUAUGAGUCUAUGACAAGUGUUCCAAGUUUUAACUCUCAAAUAAGUUGUGACAGCCUGACAGGCACAACAACUGAUCAUACUCCAUUUUAUGCACUACUGCCAAAUUGGGGAUUUAGAUUAUCUAACCUCCUUGAAAUGGGUGAGUUUGAAAUAUUUCUUCCCAAUAUCAGUCCACCUUAGUCGAUCAAAGCCUUUAGCAUCUGUCUCCACAAAUCUAAAAGAAAACAGACACAAAUAAUCAUGUAUCAAACACCAACCCAAGCAUAACCUUUACAUAUGAAGAACCAAGUCCAAAGCAAAAGCAGACCUGAAAUAUGACAGUUUGUACAUGAGGCAAUUUAGCAUGGUAGGAGUGGCUUGAGAAUCAAUCUGGUACUGUCCAUCUCUCUUUUAGACAGCAGGAUAAGAGACAAGUAGUUAAAAUUUAAUAUAAUUGAUCAAACACAAUAAAAAAUAGUAGAAAACAUUAUCAUCUAUGAUUUUCUUAGCCACAUUGAAGCAACAUCCAACAUUAAUGGAACAAAGCUUGAAACUAGUGUAGCAACAAUACACUAGCAAUAAGAACCCAAAGGAGACAUACUUAGAAUCCAUAUUACAAGCAACCAACAACUCACCAGAUAAUCAGGUUCCUUGAUGUGAGGGAAUACCCCCACUCCUAUGUGAACCAUCCACAGGAACUUAUUAAUGUCAUCACUCGGAUAUCCAACAAGACCUGAAAAGUAGGCAGCACAUCAGAGUGUAGUGAUUAUAUUUUUUUAUCAAGAUGAUCUCAAAAAACAACUAAGAAACCAACCUCCGAAGACAACAAGAACAUAUUUAACAUCCAAGGAGUUAAAGUUUACCUUAAGGUAGUACCUAGGGUUCCUUAAGGUAGUACCCGAAGGCCACUAAGGUAGUACCUAAGGGCCCUUAAGGUAGUACCUAAGCUACAAUCCCAAGAAACCAUUGGUGGACCACUUGAGCAAUGAAGAGAACCACAUAAUGGGAUGGUCCAAGGGUCACAAAGGAAGACCCGAGGCUUGGGAGAGGUUGAGUUCAAGUUUACCUUAAGGUAGUACUUAGAGUCCCUUAAGGUAGUACCUAAGGGCCCUUAAGGUAGUACCUAAGCUACAAUCCCAAGAAACCAUUGGUGGACCACUUAAGGAAUGAAGAGAACCACAUAAUGGGAUGGUCCAAGGGUCACAAAGGAAGACCUGAGGCUUGGGAGAGGUUGAGUUCAAGUUUACCUUAAGGUAGUACCUAGGGUCCCUUAAGGUAGUACCUAAAGGCCACUAAGGUAGUACCUAAGGGCCCUUAAGGUAGUACCUAAGCUACAAUCCCAAAAAACUCUUGGUGGACCACUUGAGGAAUGAAGAGAACCACAUAAUCGGAUGCUCUAAGGGUCACAAAGGAAGACCCGAGGUUUGGGAGAGGUUGAGUUCAAGUUUACCUUAAGGUAGUACCUAAGGGCCCUUAAGGUAGUACCUAAGCUAUAGUCCCAAGAAACCAUUGGUGUACCACUUGAGGAAUGAAGAGAACCACAUAAUUGGAUACUCUAAGGGUCACAAAGGAAGACCCGAGGCUUUGAAGAGGUUGAGUUCAAGUUUACCUUAAGGUAGUACCUAGGGUCCCUUAAGGUAGUACCUAAGGGCCCUUAAGGUAGUACCUAAGCUACAAUCCCAAGAAACCAUUGGUGGACCACUUGAGGAAUGAAGAGAACCGCAUAAUAUGAUGGUCCAAGGGUCACAAAGGCAGACCCGAGGCUUGGGAGAGGUUGAGUUCAAGUUUACCUUAAGGUAGUACCUAGGGUCCCUUAAGGUAGUACCUAAGCUACAGUCUCAAAAAACCCUUAGUGGACCACUUGAGGAAUGAAGAGAACCACAUAAUGAGAUGGUCUAAGGGUCACAAAGGAAGACCCGAGGCUUUGGAGAGGUUGAGUUCAAGUUUACCUUAAGGUAGUACCUGAAGGCCACUAAGGUAGUACCUAAGGGCCCUUAAGGUAGUACCUAAGCUACANNNNNNNNNNNNNNNNNNNNNNNNNNNNNNNNNNNNNNNNNNNNNNNNNNNNNNNNNNNNNNNNNNNNNNNNNNNNNNNNNNNNNNNNNNNNNNNNNNNNGGUCACAAAGGAAGACCCGGGGCUUGGUAGAGGUUGAGUUCAAGUUUACCUUAAGGUAGUACCUAGGGUCCCUUAAGGUAGUACCUAAGUUACAGUCCCAAGAAACCAUUGGUAGACCACUUGAGGAAUAAAGAGAACCACAUAAUAGGAUGGUCCAAGGGUCACAAAGGAAGACCCGAGGCUUGGGAGAGGUUGAGUUCAAGUUUACCUUAAGGUAGUACUUAAGGUCCCUUAAGGUAGUACCUGAAGGCCACUAAGGUAGUACCUAAGGGCCCUUAAGGUAGUACCUAAGCUACAGUCCCAAGAAACCAUUGGUGGACCACUUGAGCAGUGAAGAGAACCACAUAAUGGGAUGGUCCAAGGGUCACAAAGGAAGACCCAAGGCUUUGGAGAGGUUGAGUUCAAGUUUACCUUAAGGUAGUACCUAGGGUCCCUUAAGGUAGUACCUAAGCUACAGUCCCAAAAAACCCUUAGUGGACCACUUGAGGAAUGAAGAGAACCACAUAAUGGGAUAGUCCAAGGGUCACAAAGGAAGACCCGAGGUUUGGGAGUGGUUGAGUUCAAGUUUACCUUAAAGUAGUACCUAGGGUCCCUUAAGGUAAUCAAGUCAAAUCAUUGUUUUGUCUAGACAAUGUUUUGCUCUUUGGUAUUUAUGAUAUCCAUCUUGAAAGUUUAGAUUUUGCUUAUGGAAUACCUAGAGGGAGGGUGAAUAGAUAGUGCUUACUUUGUAGCCAAAAUUUUUAUUUUUAAAACUUCCCUUAAAAAAAAUUAGUGUUGAAGUAGAGAAAUUUAAUGGCACAAGGAGAUAAAAGUUUACAUGGAAAAUUACCAAUAAAGCCUCCCAGAGACUUUGUAGAUGUAAAAACCAUGGGGUUAAAAACUGUAGAACACAAAUCCACUAUCAAAAGAAAAGUACAUAGAUUUACCUGGCGGAUGUUAUCCAUAAGAUUUACUCCCCAGCACCUACACUUGUCUUCACAUCCAUGAUACAACACGACACAUGGUCCUAGUGGACUACCUCAACACCUGAGAGGGCGCAAAUCCUCUCAUGAACCUAAGAAUGAAAAUCACACAAAUUUGAGAGUAUUAGGAUGUUGGAAAGGUUAAUAAUAUUCUUUUGAAUUUUGCAUCAACAUUCAAAAAGAGUUUUAGGCAUAGCAUUGAUAGAGAUGAAGCCCUAGCAGACAAGAUCCUAAAGUUUUCAAAGACCAAUUUUUAGAAGAUGAAAAGAAUUAAAACAUAUCACAAUUCUGAAUUAGGAAAAAUUUACUUUGAAUGCUUGAGCGCUAGGUUUGAGUGCUUGAGCACUUGACCAGUUUUUUAAUUAAUUAAUUAAAAAACCAUUUUAGCUCAAUUAAAAAUCUAAAGUCCACUUUAUGCCUAUUUUAGUCAAAUUAGCCUUUCGCGAAUAUUUCUAUACUUGUGGCAUUGGGGUUGAUCAUGCAACAACCUUGAGUCUUCAAUGGAGAGUAAGACAUAAUAUCCUGAAGCAGUUGAUGAAGGAAGAUCCACUCGCUCUAGCCCGAGCUUCAGCCACUUGCUUUGAUGAGACUCCACUCCACAUAGCCGCCAUGCUUGGUCACCUAGACUUUGCAAAAGCACUUGCUUCUCACAAACCAGACAUGGCCAUGAUCAUGACCACGGCGAUAGACUUGCAGGGGCGUUCACCUUUGCACUUGGCCUCUGCCAAUGGCCAUAUUGAGAUAGUCAACAUGUUGCUGUCAUUGAAUUCCAAUAUAUGCCUCAUCUGUGAUGAGGAUGGAAGAACACCCCUUCAUCUGGCGGUGAUGAAGGGCCACGUUGAGGUCACAAGGGAGUUGGUUAGGGCCCGACCAGAAGUCACUGGGCACAAAUUGGAUCACGGGGAGACCAUUCUGCAUUCUAGUGUGAGACAUAAUCGUUUAGGAGCUCUGAAGAUGUUAGUUGAAUCAGUAAGGGAGGCCGAGUUCAUCAAUGCCAGAGAUGAUUAUGGCAACACUGUCUUGCAUACUACUACAACCUUGAAGCAGUUGGAGGUAAAAUUUUCGUCAAUUCUUUAGGCUCUUAUAUAUACCAAUUUGUGUAGUGAAGGUAACAUCACCAAAUUCAUUCUCAAUCUAAUUAACUAGACUACUAUAUAUUGAUCAAUCUGUGCAGACUGUUAGGUAUCUGCUCAAUGGAAAUAUGGUGGAAGUCAAUGCAGUGAAUGAAGGCGGUUUGACAGCUUUAGAUGUCAUUGAACAUAUGCCAAGAGACUUGAAAUCCAUGGAAAUCCGAGAAUCACUAUCAAAAGUUGGAGCUUUAAGAGCCAGAAAUGUACCUGCCAAUGGAGAACGUGAGAUAGCUAUGGUGAUCGAGGAGUCUCGAUUAGAUUCCGUAGCACAACCUCUGGAUGUUUCUCCAAGAGUAUCAAGUCCACGAGCAAUCUCACGAGGCAUCAGUAUUAAGAAACGUUUGGAAAAUCAAGAAAAAUGAUUGAAAAACAAACAUGAAGCUUUGAUGAUAACAGCAGGUGUGAUUGCAGCCAUGGCAUAUCAAGCUGGGCUUAAUCCUCCCGGCGGCAAUUGGCAGGAUGAUAAGUCUGGUUACGUUGCCGGAACAUCAAUAAUGGGUGAUUAUUAUCCAAGUAGUUACCAUUUAUUCUGGAUAUACAACACCGUAGCCCUUGUUACUUCUCUAAGCACAAUUUUUUUGCUUAUAAGUGGAAUACCUG